CCAGAUAUGUAGUUCCACCAGUGAACUUGGAAGUCCGCCCUUGGGUAGCGACCGGAAGGAGCCACAGGACCAGAUCUCUAAUCUCUUGAGGUUGGGAAGCCCACCUAACCCUUCUGGCAGGGACUGCAGCCUAGAGUACCCCUUAAUUCGAAGAACCUGGAGGGAGGUGAGCAUCUGCAGGGCCUCCGAUUGCUCCAUUGUGAAGUGCUCCAAGUCGUCAUUCCAAGCAAGCCCUAGCUCGGUGAGAGAGGAAGAGAAGUGGCCACCGACGGGCACAGCAGCGGCGCCUCCAGCUUCCCCAUCCGUUUCAAGCGCCUGCAGCCUGGAGCUAUGUUGGGGAAGAACUUGUUCGCACAUCCGCGAAGGCUCUGGGACAUCAAGUAAGUUGUGCGCUCCCCAGAUUUGUAAUUCCUUGAGAUGGCCCUGGGCAAGGAGAGGCCAUAGGUCCUCGGAUCUUAGACCCCCACAAUCAUAUAGGUCCAAUUUGGUCAGAUUUGUGAGAGGAGCCAGAGUCAGCAUGCCAUCCUUCACACCCUCAAGCACGAGGGACUGCAGGGAGGUCGGGAAAGGGCAGUAAAAAGAGGGGAUGGACAGCUGUUCUCCUGUUGCAGCUUCUAUUUCCAGUGAUCUCAGAGAGCUCUGAUUUUGGAGCAACUCCUUCAAUUGGAGGGGCAUGGACAGCUGUUCUCCUGUUGCAGCUUCUAUUUCCUCUGCUUCUCCUGCCUGCUUGUUACCACACUUCCAUAGUUCCAACGUUGAGAGGUUAGGGAAAUAAGAGAUUAGCUGUACCAAUUCCUUCACAGUGGCACCACAAUCUGAUAUCUGGAGCUGUUCAACUGGGAACUCGAAUGGGGAAUCAUUCUCACCUUCAGUUGGCCAUAGGACACUACUAAAGUCACUUAUACCCAGGGUAUUCAGAGAGUUUAGCAGUUGCAGGUGAUGUAGAGGCACUUGUGAGCAUCCAAAAAUCCUGAACUCCCUUAUUUCACUCAGAUUAGUAAAGGCCAAUACAUUCCAGAGUUCACGAUCAAGAGCAUCCUUUUUGAACUCUACACGAAUUUUCUGUUCCUUUUUGCUGUAAUCUAAGUUCUCAAUACUCUUACCCACUCUCCACAGUUCGGCUUUGGACAGAGAACUACUCCAAGGAAUUGGUGGCACUGACACUAAUUCCUCACACUCUGAAAUGUAUAUCUCCUGUACGUUGGGAAACAUGUGCGGAGAUGGCAACUCUGUAAGUUCAAAACAAUCCUCAAUAGUGAGUACCUGUAGCUUAGAGAAAGGGCUAUCUGCACUCCAUUUUCUUAGAGUUGCUAUGUUGACAAGUUCUAGCCUUUUCAGAUUCUCGAAGAUUUGGCCUGUGACAUUUGGGUGCUCUUCGCCGACCACCAACAACACUCCUAGCAAAGGUGGAAGACUUUUCCAGGCUACACCUUUGAGACAAAGGCAUUCCAAUUUCUUAGCAGAGUGGUCUGAACAUAGCCAAGUAGGGUAUGUGUGACCUCCAUGUCCUCUAAUGCACACUUGUUGAAGAUUAUUGUGUGGCUUAAGGCAUUCAAGAACAUCUUGUUCCUUUUUUGGAUCCCUAUCAGACUGGUCUCUAUCCCAACCUAAUAUUAAUCGAUUUAAGUGUUGCAAAUGGACUAAUUUUAAUUCUUCCAGCUCUGUUGCACCACCAACCUUUUCAAGAUUGCAAAUCUCCAAUGACCCUUGCAGCUGUAUCAAUUUCCCAACUUGGUUCAAUUCAAAACCUUGUUUUUCUCUAUUGACCUCAAAUCUCCUUAUCUCUUGUAUAGAUUUAAGUUUCCCAAUCUCAACAAUUCCACAAUGAUAAGAAUUAUUUCCCACAAGAAAAUGACGAAUUUUCACUAGGUUGCUCAUAUCUCUUGUAGAAGAGCAGAUCUCUUCUUCUUCCAUAUGAGCAAAAGUGUCGCAUUCUUUUAUAUCUAGGACCAACAAGUUAUAAAAUCUUGAUAUACUACCAAAUAAACUUCUUAAAUUUAAUACAUAACCCUUUAUCCUUAAGUAACGAAGAUGGACAAGUUGUGAGAAACUGUGCAGCAGAACCUCCACAUCAUACGAUGCACCUGAUAAGAAAAUGACACGAAGGGUUUUUGCAUCCCGAAACAUACCACUAAAUAUCUUGCAAAAGCUUCCAUGGUGAUCUCCAAAUAACAUCAAAGUACGUAGGUUUCUAGCUUUCAGUCUUUUACCAAGUAUAUCAAGCCCUUUCUUACAAUUUUCAAAGGUUGCUUUGUCCUGGACAUCUGAAUUAUUUAUGAUGAUUGACAUGUGAUGUAUAGAUGCAGGAAUUUGUAUUGACCACACAUUAGACCCUUGUAUGCUAAUACAUUCAUGUGCUGAAACAUUUCUUGCCAAGUCAUGGAGUAGAUCAUGUAUCACAUAAUAAGUGCUGCCAUCCUCUUUUUUUGCUUCAUGGAAGAAGCCAUGAUUAACCAAGUCGCUUAAAUAAUCUAGUCCAAUAUCUUCAAGUCUCUUGUUUUGAUCGUCGGGGCCUAACAGCCCUAGUCCUAUCCACAAGUGGAUUAACUCUUCCCUUCCAAAUUCAUAAUCUUCAGGGAACAAGGCACAGUGGGCAAAACAUUGUUGUAGAUGAAAAGGAAGAUAGUUAUAGCUAAGCUUUAAUGCUGGCAUGAUAUCAUCCUCAUUGGCCUGAUAUUCCCAUUCUUUACUCUCAAGUACCCUUCUCCAAUGGUCUGUGUUAAGUUCAGUUUUCAGUAAUCUACCGACAGUUUUAACUGCAAGAGGGAAACCUUUCAAUCUCUUCACUAUUUCGCACCCAAAAUCAUGCAAAUUAGGGUUCCCUUCCCAUGUUUGCUGGUCAUCAAACACACAUGCUUGGAAGAAACACAUGCAUUCUUCAUCACUUAACCGUUCUAAUCUUAUUUGACAGCCUACUGUUGCAACCAUUUGUGCCACCUUCGGUAUCCUUGUUGUGACUAUUGCCAUGUUACCUUUUGUUUGCAUUUUCUUAAAUGGGGCUAGCAGUUUUUUCCAUUCAUUUUCGUGAUCUGUCCACAUGUCAUCCAAAACAAGCAAGAACCGUUUGGACUGCAAUCUUUUUUCAAUCAGACCUUCAGCACUUUCAUUUCCAUUUUCAUUGUCAAGUUUAGGGAUUUGUUUUAUGAUUUCUUGUGCCAACUUACUUGCACUGAAAUUCUGAGAGACACAUACCCAUACCAGGACUUGGAAGUGGCUCUUUGCUUCUUCAUAUAUAUGUUGUGUGAGUGUUGUCUUCCCAAGACCCCCUGGACCAACUAUCGAAAGAACAGUGAGAUCAUCAUUGACAUGAUAUUUAGAGGUUAUUCCAUCUAUGACAUCCUUUUUCAAAUCAUCCCUCCCAUAUAACUUUGGCUCUAUAAUCUGUGGGGUGGUGGUUCUGGUGGUUUGGUUGAAAGCAGUGCCUUGUUGGGCUGAGAUGCCAGUGGAGGCUAUAGUUCCCUGCAGCUCCAGAUCUAGAAUUGUAGAGACCAUAGCACACACUGGCUUAAGCUGCUCAACUAUGUCCACCAUCCGUUUGGACAUGGCCACCCGAUCAAACUUGAGUUUUGGCUUUCUACGAUGGUGACACACCACAGAAGCACAGGAACAUGAGGGGAGCUUCAGCUUACUGACGACGGCCCCGGCCGUGUGGCGUGCGUUGAGGACAAGGCCCCCGACGAGACCUCGGACAUCGGCGUCAAUGGUCUCAUAGGUCCCGUCGAGCUCGUCUUGGAUGCGGAAGUACUCCAGCUCGUCUAGAACGUCAUCAGCAUCAAAUGCUUGGUUGCGGAGCUCCUGCAAGAGCUGCCCCAGUGCCGGGCUGCGGACAUCCCUGCCACGGGCGUUGUCUAGCAUCCCCUGGGCGUACAGGAGUUGCAGCUUGAGGGCGCGGAUGUUGGGGGCCAGCUUCGAAGAGGCUGCCCAAGACUCCAUGAGGCCAUCGGAGAUGGGUCUCAGUGCCCUGGACACCGCCCAGCGUGCUGCGCUGAUGGUGAUCUCCAUCCUCUCUUUCAAAGGGUGUUGGAUGACGAAGAUUCUGUGAAUCAAAGCAUCGAUCAAGUUAUGAGCCUGUUCGGAACAGCUGCAGCUGCACUAGCACAAGAAACGGUGUUGCGUGAGUCUUUGUUUGCAGCAACAGCCGCACUGGCAAGAAGCUGUUCUGAAGCUGAAGCCAAUGUACUAGGAUUAGCUCGCUGUUUGUUCUGCAAGAGGUGAAGUAUGUGCAGAUCACAAGGCUAGCCAGCUGCUUACCUAGGCUACGCAGGAGGUGCCCUGCGUGGUCGGCACCGGGUUGGAGACUGGAGCAGCUGCAACGAGCCAAUGACACAGGCACCACGGAGUUGGAGCCUUGGAGGCCGCGGACGUGAAGAGGUGUCUGUGAACUGGAACACUUAUCUGGGAGGAAUGCGAGAGAGAAGAACUCUAGCCUCCGGACAAGCAACUUGCACCGGUGGUGUGUGCUGUGUGGAUGGAGAUGUAGAUAUUUCUGAACGGCUGGGAGUGCCAGCGUGUGUUUGGUUUGGACUGAUAUUUUUGAAAAGUCAAGCAGAGUAUGGAAUCUUGCUUGCCUGACAGCUUAUUGAAGUGGACACGGCCUCCUGCCAGCCAAGGCGAGAGCGAGAGCUUGGCAUGGAUUGCUCAAUCACACUGCGCUACAGCAGUUCAACCCUGUAUCUCACAGCUUGUGUUUGCACAGACUGAGUUCCCUUUGGCCUUAAGCUUGUUCAAUUACCUAGCAGAUGUUGUAAUUUUCGUUUCAGGUAUUUGAGCUCAGCAGGGACCUUAAUCCUGAUUGAGAAAAAACGUUAGGUCGGGUAUCCUUUGGCCUUUGCAAGUUUGGCUAUGUAGGUCCGGUUCCAUUCCAGCUGAUGUCACUGAAAUGCAGGACACAAAGCUUGUUCAAUUAUUCUUGUCCUUCCCCGAAUUCCUCUUGACUGACUUGCAGUCUGAAGAGGCCAGUGGUCUCGUAGGUCCCAUCGACCUUGUCCUGCAACCCCGCGCGACACUGACUUUCGUUUUUAUUUGGCAAUUAUUGUCCAAUCAUGGACUAACAGGCUCAAAAGAUUCAUCCCGUGAUUUACAGGCAAACUAUGUAAUUGUUUUCGACUAUAUUUAAUGCUUCAUGCAUGUGCCGCAAGAUUCGAUGUGACGGAGAAUCUUGAAAAGUUUUUGAUUUUUUGGGUUGAACUAAACAAGGCCGUGCUUUCGUUUGUAUUUGGUAAUUAUUGUCCAAUCAUGGACUAACUAGGCUCAAAAGAUUCGUCUCAUAAAUUACAGACAAACUGUGUAAUUAGUUUGUUUUCAUCUACAUUUAAUACUCGAUGCAUGUGUUUAAAGAUUCGAUUUGACGGUAAAUCUUGAAUAUUUUUGGAAACUAAAAAAAGGCCUAAGCUCAAGUGAACAGGACGUCCGACGACCAUUGACCUGGACCUGGACACAGAACCACAGCGAGCCGAUCGAAGAAGCCGCGGCCACAUCGAGCCGAGUAGCUUAAACCAUGCAAUGCAAGAUGGGAUCGAAGAACCUUCAGCCGUUCAGCGAAUCAAUUGGGCUGACUGACUGAACUGUGCAGUCCCAAUUGUCAAAAGUUUGGUAGCCAACAGGGCUUCACAUUCAGUGUGUUUAACAGAGCUUGACUCUGAAAAUUCAGGUUCAGUGUUCUUGACAGCCUGCGUUGGACAGCUGAUUUUGAUAUGUGAUUCUACUUUGAAAAGCAGGGCCCUUUGCCUUCAAGACAAACUAGACCCUAUGUUCAUUUGAUUUUAGAUUAUAGUGAGAUUGAGAUCCAUCUGAAAAGCAAUCAUUGAAAUGCUAGCAGAGCAGAACUUUUUACUUACUAGCUUCGUUCAGUCCUGUAUCUCAUGUGCUUUCGCAUGCUAGCCAUUUGGCCUACACUCAAAAUGCAGCAGUUGCCUGUUCUAUUCUUAGCGGCACACUCUUGCACACUUUGAUUCAGCACAAUGUAAGUUUGACAAACAUAAUUUGGCAAGCCAAUUCAGUCUAGAGAACAACCUAUAUAUCGUCUCAACUUAGACAUUAUCUAGCAUAAUCAAUUGACAACCUCUUCAGUUAGCAAUGUGUCAUCAUUUUGAAAGGGUCCAUGUCAAGGACUGCCUAACCAUGCAAAUAACUCACAUGAAAAUCCCAACUUCGGAUGGCUGCACAUGGUCAGUAGGAGAUUGGAUUUUUUUUUCAUAAGAAUUUAUUUGGUAAGCGUGGCUGUGCCAGUCAACUUUUCUUGGUUGUCCAUGCAUAUGAAAAUCUAAAAAAACAAGAUGAAUUAUGGAUUUUAAUUUUUUUUUCCUGUAUAUAUGACAUGAAUUAUGGAUUGGCUGAAGACCUGUUAGUCUAAUAUUAAAUUACAUAACAAGAUGAAUGAUUGAAUUAAGUGAUACAAAAAAUAUUUUACCUCCACGGUAGCGCUGCCAUCUAGUUUCGAGCCAUUUAUCCUCCAAGGACAAGGGCCCGUCGAUUCAUCACCAGACUUGCAAAACCCCCCUAUAUUUCUUUGUAGUUGACUUACAAACAAGAGAAAUCUACAUUUACUUGAGACUUACAAACAGAAGAAAUCUACAUUUAUAUUUACUACUGUCUUCUACUGGAACGAAAAAAAGACAGGAAGUGCAUCCAAUAUUUACUACUGUCUACUAUGUACUGGUAUGAAAUAAGAGAUGAAGUGCAUCGAAUUUAUAUCUUUCCACUUGAAGAAUCGGAAGGCUGUACUCUAUUGCUGGAUGACAAACAGUAGGCAACAGUGACCUUGCAUGGGCAUCGGCAUCUAUUUGCACGGAUUGGUCCACCUGGACAUCAGGUAUAUUUGGCCAUCUCCACCUUGGCUGGUUUCACCAGCAGCGUCACCGCCUACCCUGAGAACGCUUGGAACACAGAACAAGACAUCAAGAUCAUGUACAAAGACGCAAAACGAGACACACCAGCAGCAGAAGCCCCACCGUGGUCAUGUGCGUGAGCGCGUCGUUCCUGGUGUUGUCUAGUCUCCUGCCCGGCGAGGCAAGCCCUAGGUCACUUGCCAUCUGGCUUCCUGCCAGCGCGACGAGGCUUCGACGGCCGUUGGAGGGAGCAGAUCGCCUACCGCCGCCGGGGGCUCGCCGGGCGACGGUGGAUCGCCGGGGAGAGGUUUUGCGGUGGAAACGUCGAUCUUUUUUUAGAGAAACUGAAACAUCAAUCUGUGUACAAAGACUAAAGGGCAAUACAGUCAUUAACUAAAAAUACAUGUAUUUUAAAUUAUCAAAAUUAAUUAAAAAGGGCCAAAAUAUCAUUAGAGCUUAUAAACAACGUUUAGAGUUCUGUUUGGAAGAAACCAAUGUUACGAGUCCUAUUUGGAAGAAGCCAAUUAUAAUUGGAUAACCAUUUUCUCCGUAACCUCCGUUGUGGCCAUGCUGCGGCAGCGGGAGGCGCCGGAGUCGCGGCCGUGAUACUCAGAUGCAGCGAAUCAAGCAAGCGCCUCUCCACUCCUCGCUGCGGGAUACAGACGAACGGAACAGGGUCAGGAAGGAUAAGGAAGGGAGGGCGCCGGAGUCGGGCGGCAGAGGACGUGUGCGAGGAGGGAGACAUCUUCAACAAAUUCAGCUUGACUGACUGAACUCUGCAUCUUCUUCAGCAAGUGUCGAAGUUGGUAGACAACACAGCAGGGAUUCACAUUCUGAAGAGACCCCAAAUUGCUCGAUGGUAUGCUUCAGUAAAUUCAGUCCAUUUCCAUCUGUGGCUGUCUGCAACAUGUUAGUACUUAAUAUGUUGCAAAUCUACUGAAACUCAAAUUUCCAUCGGUGGCUGUCUGCAACAUGUUAGUAAUCAAGAGAUUUUGUCUGCAACGUUUUAUUUCAAUGACAGUUCAGCCUCCAGUUAAUGUUUUCUUUUUCUUAUUAUGCGACAACAUUCCAGAAAAAACACUGUGGUUUCCUUCAUUCCUCUCAAUCCCUUUCCAUAUCUGUCCUGUUGCAGACCAAUAGUUUCCCAUUUUUUAUGAGACAAAAAUAACAGAAUACUUUGAAGUCGUAGUAGUUUAUUGACUAAAUUACCCUAAUGCAGAAAGUUCGGGGCCUAAAUUAGAGUUUGGCACAUGCCCCCAAACUUUCAAUCAUGACCUGCAUGUGUAGCUAGCGUCAGAUUGUCUGUAAUCAAAAUAAAAGGUAUUGGUAAGCAUAACAAAGUUCACGUCUAUCUUAUCCUAUAAAUUUGCUGAACACAUAUAGUAUCGUAUUAUCCAUAUUUUCACGUCGGUUACUGAAAAUUUACAUGUUCCCAGGUUACUGAAAAUUUACAUGUUCCCAACAUUGUCAAAUCAUAAACCAAGCAAAGUUGUACCAGAGUGCAGGGUCAUAGCAAAAUUGUACCUGGAGUGCAGAAGCUCGUGUAGGGAACAACACAGGGAACACGACCAAGCAAGCCAUCUUCAUCACAUUCCCCCUUGUAUACCUUCCGCACCCGACCAGACUUUAGAUCAAAGCUGAAUAGCACACCAUCAUUCAUUCCCACGAAAAAGACAUCAACACCAUGCGCAAAGCCAAGGAAGCCAUAACUGAUGGAGCCGGCACCGACUGGAAGCAACUUCUCAAGCUCAAUGACUCUAGUCCGUGUCCAUCCCACGCCUCCGUUUGGAUUCACCUCCAUUGACCAGAGCAAGAGUCUGGCGGCCAUAUCCACUCUUGCAAAUCCCAGCCCACCACCCUCCAUCUCCAUGAGCGCAAUAGCACAAUUGGAGGCUCGAGGUAAGUGAACCACAGAUGUCUCCGUUGUGGCCAAAUCAAAACCUAGGACCCUACUGCCAUUAUCAAUCGAGAAGUAGAGUGUGUUCCCACAAGGGCAGUAGGCACUAGAUCGACGCUGCACUUGGGGACCAGAGUCGGCUCGCUCCAGCAGGCUGCCGCCGAUGAGUAGACGCGCAAGGACCAGCGCUGGACCUGGCUGUAGCUGUAGUACUUGGUGACAAAGCGAACGACGACGAAGGCUGUACCGUCGGCCGUGGGCUCGCGGAGCACAGUCGCGUACCACUCGUCCCGUUCGCAGUCGUCCAGGACUGGUAUCUCCCACCGCUCGCCCGUUGUCGGGUCCCAGAUGACGAGGGCGUCGACCUCGUCGUCACCCAGGACGAAGUGGAGGACGACGAGGCCGUGGCGGGCGUCGAGGACGACGCAGUCGCGGACGUCCUCCUCGCAGCCGGUGGGUGUCGGGCGGAAAGAGGAGGUGGGGACGAACCAGGCGAACAAGGGGUUGCACAGGAAGCCGAGCAGUGGUGCUGUGCGGUGGAACUCCAUGAACCGGCGGCGGAAGCUGCGGGCACAGACGAUGCGGCACCAGGGCUUGCAGACGAGCGCGGCGCGGACGAGGCUCGCGGGAUCGGCCGGUGGGAGGCGGAGGAGGAUCUCUUCGACGACGUCGGCCGGCAGCUCCAUACUGCUACAGAUCCGGGGAGAGGAGCGGCGCAAGCGCGAGGCUGAGGCAGAGGCGGAGGCGUGGGUGCCGGAGGGAUCCGGCGAGGGGCGGCGCUGCCUGCUGCGACAGCGGAGGUUUUUUUUUUUUUUUUUUUUUGAGCUGCGACAGCGGAGCUGGGCUGCGAAUUGGGCCGUUCAGCUUCUCGAGUGGAGAGGCCUUCGAAUUUUCUGUUCCAUCAGCCCACAGCCCACGGGAAUUGCUAGUAGGCCCAGGCACAGCCCACAGCCCGCAGCGUGAUCGAAGGAGAUCUUCAGGAACUUAGACUGACAGACUGAACUCUGUUAUUCUGAAUAGACAACAGACCUUCAUAUAUCGAGUGUUCUCAUGAAUUUCAGUUGUACUGAUAUCAUAGUUUCUUGCAACCGGUGUUUGGUAACAAAGGGGGAGGGCAGUGAGGGGAGAGAAACUGGAAUCGAUUUUCAAGAUUGACAGACUUCUGUGUGAAUAUACAUGUUGCUGGUGACAAGAGACGAAUUGGUAAUGGCUUCUCGUCCCUCGCGAACCUGUAUCUUGAAAUUCUACGGAAAUCUUAAGGGGUUGCGUGGCAUACUGAACCCUGUUGUCUGUUGAUGCCAACCCUAUUAGACAAAUUGCUCCAAAUGUUUCUACUGCAUUGUAUCCAGGCCUGCCUGCAACGCAUGAGUGAUGGUAACUUCUUGUCGUCAUUCACGUUUCCUGUGUGUGAUGCUAUGGCUGAUCAAGGCACAAAAGCUGGCAGGGGCGAAGCUACGUGCUGAUUAGGGGGUGCAAAUACACCCCCUGAAAUUUAUAAAAACAGUGACUAGAUCCAAAAUUUCACCAUAUACGCACCCCCAUAAAAAAUGUCUAUGCAUCCACAAGCUAAAUACACCCCCCUUCUAAUUCGCUCUAGCUUCGCAACUGAAAGCUGGCAAGAAGGUUUAUAGCAUCUUUGAGGGUUAUACUAAUCUUUAAAAGAGACUGGUCCAUGUCACCAUGGAGGAGUUAUCAAUGUCAUUGAGGGUCAUAGUAAUCUGUAAAGGAUGAUGGAGUUUAGAGUAGACUAGUGAAGGUCCAAGUGCUCGUUUUGUUUGAGCCCCACUUCCUGUAGCAAAUGGGGCAGGAAGAUUAUAAAGAGCAAGGACGUCUAAGAAAACUGUCCAUGCUUUGAUAAUGCUUUUAUGUGGAAAAACUCCUCAAAAUGAGGAGUAAAAAACCACGGGACCAUCACGGUCCACUGCCAAACUUUCCAUUAUAUGAGGACCAUGUACUCUUUACAAUAUCUAGAGAUAAUACCAGAUCUGAAAACCGUCAUAAUAAAACCCUUGCACGACCAAACAUAACCACGAAUGUAACCUUGAGCUAACAGGAGUUAACCACUUCACCAACAUAAGGUCAUGCCGUUGAAUCCUGAAGCAGUCAAUCCAUUUUGCACGCUGCUGAACAAUGGCAACGCAAACUAAAAAAGUCUCUCUCAAACUUGAUGUUCUUCUAGCACAGUACACAAGUUUUUCCACAGCUGCAGCUCAAGCAAAACAUGUUUUACUGAACUUCUUUUCAACUCUAUCUUUGGAGCAACGUGGCAUCUAAACUGUCCGUGCAAAGGUGAUUUUCUCCCUUUUGAACCCCAGUAUCUUGAACAUGACUCAAGACCAUGCCAGUUCUAGGCUCAUUGAUGCUGCUGCAACUGCAACGGAACUAUGAAAUGACUGCACCUCUACCAGUUGCAGCAUCGCUACUCACUUGGUACAAAGAACAUCCAUAGUUCAGAACAAUCCCUUUCCUAAAACAGAAGACAAAUUGAAUAAUUGAAGUCACUUAUUUGCAUAAUGUCACGGACAUAAUAUUAAUCUCUAUGUAUCCUAAUGUCACCACAUUGACAGAGAAGCAAAUACUAUUCAUUUUCAAAAAUUGUAAAAUAUCUAUAUUUUCAUUAUCUUCAAAUUCAGUUAUGAGUGUUCAUUUUAUAUUAUCAGAAAAAUCAGUAUGUUUCAUAGAGGCUUCCAACAUUAAGACCUAUUUGUAUAAUUAUGUACUGUAAUAUUGUAUGGGCAUGGCUAUUUAAAAGGUCAAAAAGGGGGGCAGCAGCCAGAUAUAUCUAAAUAAUGAAACAAGCUACAACGUCAUAUCAGUAUGGCUCAGUGACUGACUGACGCUCCUAACAUAACCAGAGAGAGAGAGAGAGAGAGUUUCAAAUGUUCAGCCUUCUAAUAUUUUAGCCCCAUUCAUUAGCAAGCUUCAAGUAAGGAAACAAAUUUUACAUGCUAUUAACACUGGAGAAAUGUCACCUCAAUGAAACUGGAUGGAUGGAGUGUCAGCAAAUUGGCUUGGAACUAAUAAAAUUUCUAUGUCUAAUAAAAUUUACAGGCACAACUUUAUUUUGUCGUCUUUACAAAAAACAAAAAAAAUGAGAGAAAGGAGGUGAGAUACUGACAGAGAUAUUUUGCAGAAGUAGCGCCUCAAAAGCCAGCAGUCUUGUAGGAGUACAAAACAGCGGGCUGCUGUGCUGCCGCCCCACACACGACCUGCGAACCCCAGGAUGAGGCUGUGCCGAUCCCAUCAGCAGAGACGAUGCCUGCCAUGCUUGCCUGCAGUCCACGCGUGUGUCACAUGCAGUUGACCAUCAAAAGAUGCACACCACACACCACAGUAACGCCGAAAGAUCCAUCUCAGAAUCUAUCCAUCCAUCAAGGGAAAGAGAGGCAUUCGAGAGCCGGCUGGUACAGCUUCAGCAUUAGCACCCACCACUCCCUACCACCGCCUACCUCAGUCUCAGUGCAACUUCCACUUUGCACUCAUCAACCAGUGUCUCUGUAUGAAUGGCGUGAAAACGAAAUGCCCGGCCCCUCUUCCUCAACGCCGGCGCCCCAGCUGUUGCAGUACUGGCAGCAGCAAGACGAAGGGAUGUAGCCGGCCGGCGACACAGACGAGGCGAGCGCGCCGGCGCCUGCAACAGCCACUUCUAGUCUUGUAUGCUCGCGAACUCCCAUUGUCGGACGCCCAACAGUACGCAUCUCCUUGCUCUCCUAUUCCUGACACAAGGCCUUCCUUGCUGAGCGAUGGACCGGCCAAACUGGCCAACCUGUUAAUGCGCUCUGGGGUUUCAGCGCCGCUGAGAGAUGCCGCCGAUGGAUGUCCACACACUCGAUGCACCUGGCCCCGUGCCGCGGCUAUCCAUGAUUCUUUCAGGGACGAGGUUGCUGGCGUCGCGCAGGAGGUUCCUCUAGGGAUGCAAUGCGAUGCUCGCCUCCGUCAGUAGCACGACAUCAGGCAGGCAUUCCACCUGCAGCAAGUUUCAGAGAAUAAUGUGGUAUCAAUUUCAGCAAUAGCUUCCACUUACGUGCCUGCCUGCCUGCCUGUCUGCCUGGAUUAAUUUCAAAUGCUCAGCAAGAGAUGACUAGUCCCGCUACCUGAGUGAAGCUGCUAGCAAUCGCAAGAUGCUCCUUGUCAAUAUCCAUGCUGACAACAAGCGCUGGAAGCCUGUUAUGGUCUGACGGUUUCUUUCACUUCUGAUACGGCCUUUGCAGAUGCCCCCAUAUAUGCUGAGACAUAGUUCCAGCAUCAGCGACGACUGACGCUACUUAAGAAGGCGAGGGAUGUCAAUAGCAGUUUAUAGCAGAGGUUAACCUCCAUCGACGAGUACAGUGGAUGCGCCCUGAUUGAGUACUGACGCUUCCUCUGCUGUCAGAAACUGGCUCCUCCGAGGAAGUUGAGUCUUCCUCGCGUGGGUGGUUGCUCCGGCAAGUGGCGAUGCUCACCUCCAUCAGUAGCACGACAUCAGGCGUUUAACCUGCAAAGUUUAAUAAUGCCUUUCAGCAGACAGUUUGUAUCACGUCUAAUAAUGCCUUUGCACAUGCCUUAGUGCUAGUUAGUAUGCGCUGGGACAUAGUUCAAGCAUCAGCGACUGACUGGCGCUACUGCAAGGGAAGGAUAUGUCAAGAGAAGGUUACAGCAGAUGGAUGAGUACAUACAGUGGGUGUGCCAUCGAGCCCGAGCUCUGCUCUCAGAAACUGGCUCCUCGGAUCCUCCCAGGAAGUUGGGUCUCCUCUAAGUCGGCUUGGCUGGAAAUGUUAGAGAUAUCCAAUCCUUAACUUACCAAACCCGUGCAAUAGAGAGGAGAAAACACAUCAGUGAAUGCAUGUGAUAAAUGAAAAACAGAAAAGUGAAUGAAGAAACAGAGAAAGGAAGGAUCAAAUGUUCAGCCUUAUAAUAUUUCAGCCUCAUUCAUGAUCAAUCUUAACUCUGGAGAAAUGUCACUUCGAUGACACUGAAUGGAUGGACUGUCAGCAUAUUGGCUUGGAAGUAUGGUUACCUUGACUAGUACGGAGACAGAGACCUGCGCAAGCAGCUGUGACAGUGUUCCAGCACUGAUGACCUCCCAGCAGCUAGAGGUAUACAUCAUCCAAUCCAACCGACUGAAAAGGGAAGUUUGCGCUGAUCAGUUAGAAGAUUUGAAAAAACAGAUGGGAGCCUAUCACAUUCAGACUAAGUAGGUUACGUCGCGAUGAAACUCACCAAUGGUACAUCAUUUAAAAUCUCGAUGCUGAUUUAACAGCAUUGAUAUAUGGCUUUCCAUUAUCCCAACUUAUGCAUUUUGUAAAGUUCUUCAUGCCAGGGUCACAAGCAGAUAUCACGGGAGAUUGCAUCGUCAAGAAUGCCCUGUAAUGAAAAAUUUGCUCAAUCUCUGCUCAAAAUGGUCCACCAAUCACAGUCUGACCAAAAAAAAUGUUUGAUAUCCAGGUUACAUGUUGUCUAGAACCUAAACCAAGAUGGAAUAAAAAAAACCCUGAAACGUAGUAUCAUUGAUUUGGACCAUGUAUGCUAUGUCAAGCAAUUCAAAUAAGAGUGAAGAUUUAAGAACAAAGUUGCAGCACAAAUUCUAAUGAUUGGAAAGGAUUAAAGAAGCUAAAUCAGAGAAAACUGGAAGAGGGAUGGUUCCUAAUACUGUUACAGUGGUGCUCUUUGCAUGCAGUGCAAUGUAACAAGGUAAGGUGCCACUGAUCAGAUAAUAACAAAGUAAAAUGGCCACCAAAAAAAAUUGAGCUACUUCACGUUCAGCAACUAACAUGGGUGAUCCUUAGGUGGAACUUUUUGGUAAAAAAUAGUGCAAAAAAAGGAAGUGUUUGUUACCUUAGAUUAGUAGCCUCAGAACUUAACUAUGGGUAUUGUUCCUUGCAGCUUCCGGCACUGCUUCUGUAGCUUCUCGUUGCUAUUCGUGACAUCUAGCUUUUGAAGUGAAUUCGGGAGGCUGCCCUCAUGCAGCGACCUGAUAGCAGGACAGUCGCGGAUCCGUAAUAUCUUCAGUGAACUUGGAAGGCUUCCCUUUGGUAGCGACCGGAAGCCAUCGCAACUAAUUAUAUUUAGUUCUGUCAGCGAACUUGGGAGGGUGCCCUUGGGCAGUGACCGGAUGGCACCACAGCACCAGAUUUGUAAUUCCACCAGUGAACUUGGAAGUCCGCCCUUGGGUAGGGACCGAAAGCAGUUACAGUACUCGAUCUCUAAUCUCUUGAGGUUGGGAAGCCCACUUAACCCUUCUGGCAGGGACUGCAGCCUACAGUACCACUCAAUUCGAAGAACCUGGAGGGAGGUGAGCAUCUGCAGGGCCUCCGAUUGCUCCAUUGUGAAGUGCUCCAAGUCGCCAUUCCGACCAAGGCAUAGCUCGGUGAGAGAGGAAGAGAAGUGGCCAUGGAUGGGCACAGCAACGGCGCCCCCUGCUUCCCCAGCCGUUUCGAGCGCUUGCAGCCUGGAGCUAUGUUGGGGAAGAACUUGUUCGCACAUCCGCGAAGGCUCUGGGACAUCAAGUAAGUUGUGCGCUCCCCAGAUUUGUAAUUCCUUGAGAUGGCCCUGGGCGAGGAGAUGCCAUAGGUCCUCAGAUCUUAGACCCCCACAAUCAUGUAGGUCCAAUUUGGUCAGAUUUGUGAGAGGAGCCAGCGAAAGCAUGCCAUCCUUCACACCACCAAGCUGGAGGGACUGCAGGGAGGUCGGGAAAGGGCAGUAAAAAGAGGGGGGCGAACUGGAGGAUAGAAGCAUGGGGCAGUUACGUAUAACCAGUGAUCUCAGAGAGCUCUGAUUUUGAAGGGGCAUGGGCAGCUGUCCUCCUGCUGCAGCUUCUAUUUCCUCUGCUCCGCCUGCCUGCUUGUUACCACAACUCCAUAGUUCCAACGUUAAGAGGUUAGGGAAAUAAGAGAUUAGCUGUAACAAUUCCUUCACAGUGGCACCACAACCUGAUAUCUGGAGCUGUUCAACUGGGAACUCGAAUGGGGAAUCAUUCUCACCUUCAGUUGGCCACAGGACACUAGUACAGUGACUUAUAUGCAGGGUCUUCAGAGAAUUUAGCAGUUGUAGGUGAUGUAGAGGCACUUGUGAGCAUUCACUGAUCCUGAACUCCUUUAUUUCACUCAGAUUACUGAAGGCCAAUACAUUCCAGAGUUCAUGACCAAGAGCAUCCUUUUUGAACCCUACACGAAUUUCCUGCUCCUUUUUGCUGUAAUCUAAGUUCUCAAUAAUCUUACCCACUCUCUGCAGUCUAGCUUUGGACAGAGAACUACUCCAAGGAAUUGGUGGCACUGACACUAGUUCCUCACACUCUGAAAUGUAUAUCUCCUGUAGGUUGGGAAACAUGUGCGCAAAUGGCAGCUCUGUAAGUACAGAACAAUUCUUAACAAUGAGUACCUCUAGCUUAGAGAAAGGGCUAUCUACACUCCAUUUUUUCAGAGUUGCUAUGUUGACAAGUUCUAGAAAUUUCAGAUUCUGAAAGGUUUGCCCUGCGACGCUUGGCUGCUCUUCGCUGACCAUCAACAACUCUCCUAGCAGAGGUGGAAGACUUUUCCAGGCUACACCUUUGAGACAAAGGCAUUCCAAAUUCUUAGCAGAGUGAUCUGAACAUAGCCAGGUAGGGUAUGUGUGACCUCCAUGUCCUCUAAUGCACAGUUCUUGAAGAUUAUUGUGUGGCUUAAGGCAUUUAAGAAGAUCUUGUUCCUUUUUUGGGUCCCUAUCAGAUUGGUUUUCAUCCCAACCUAAUAUUAAUCGAUUUAAGUGUUGCAAGUGGACUAAUUUUAAUUCUUCCAGCUCUGUUGCACCACCAACCUUUUCAAGAUUACAAAUCUCCAAUGACCCAUGGAGCUGUAUCAAUUUCCCCAAUUGGUUCAAUUCAAAACCUUGUUUUUCUCUUUUGACCUCAAAUCUCCUUAUCUCUUGUAUAGAUUUAAGUUUCCCAACCUCAACAAUUCCACAAUGAUAUGAUUGAUUUCCCACAAGAAAAUGACGAAUUUUCACUAGGUUGCUCAUAUCUCUUGUAGAAGUGCACAUCUCUUCUGUGUCUAUACGAGGAAAAGUGUUGCAUUCUUUUAUAUCUAGGACCAACAAGUUAUAAAAUCUUGAUAUACUACCAAAUAAACUUCUUAAAUUUAAUACAUAACCCUUUAUCCUUAAGUAACGAAGAUGGACAAGUUGUGAGAAACUGUGCAGCAGAACCUCCACAUCAUACGAUGCACCAGAUAAGAAAAUGACACGAAGGGUUUUUGCAUCCCGAAACAUACCACUAAAUAUCUUGCAAAAGCUUCCAUGGUGAUCUCCAAAUAACAUCAAAGUACGUAGGUUUCUAGCUUUCAGUCUUUUACCAAGUAUAUCAAGGCCUUUCUUACAAUUUUCAAAGGUUGCUUUGUCCUCCACAUCUGAAUUAUUUAUGAUGAUGGACAUGUGAUGUAUAGAUGCAGGAAUUUGUAUUGACCCCACAUUAGCCCCUUGUAUGCUAAGACAUUCAUGUGCUGAAACAUUUCUUGCCAAGUCAUGGAGUAGGUCAUGUAUAACAUAAUAAGUGUGCCCAUCCUCUUUUUUUUCUUCCUGGAAGAAGCCAUAACUAACCAAGUCGCUUAAAUAAUCUAGUCCAAUAUCUUCAAGUCUCUUGUUUUGAUCGUCGGGGCCUAACAGCCCUAGUCCUAUCCACAAGUGGAUUAACUCUUCCCUUCCAAAUUCAUAAUCUUCAGGGAACAAGGCACAGUGGGCAAAACAUUGUUGUAGAUGAAAAGGAAGAUAGUUAUAGCUAAGCUUUAAUGCUGGCAUGAUAUCAUCCUCAUUGGCCUGAUAUUCCCAUUCUUUACUCUCAAGUACCCUUCUCCAAUGGUCUGUGUUAAGUUCAGUUUUCAGUAAUCUACCGACAGUUUUAACUGCAAGAGGGAAACCUUUCAAUCUCUUCACUAUUUCGCACCCAAAAUCAUGCAAAUUAGGGUUCCCUUCCCAUGUUUGCUGGUCAUCAAACACACAUGCUUGGAAGAAACACAUGCAUUCUUCAUCACUUAACCGUUCUAAUCUUAUUUGACAGCCUACUGUUGCAACCAUUUGUGCCACCUUCGGUAUCCUUGUUGUGACUAUUGCCAUGUUACCUUUUGUUUGCAUUUUCUUAAAUGGGGCUAGCAGUUUUUUCCAUUCAUUUUCGUGAUCUGUCCACAUGUCAUCCAAAACAAGCAAGAACCGUUUGGACUGCAAUCUUUUUUCAAUCAGACCUUCAGCACUUUCAUUUCCAUUUUCAUUGUCAAGUUUAGGGAUUUGUUUUAUGAUUUCUUGUGCCAACUUACUUGCACUGAAAUUCUGAGAGACACAUACCCAUACCAGGACUUGGAAGUGGCUCUUUGCUUCUUCAUAUAUAUGUUGUGUGAGUGUUGUCUUCCCAAGACCCCCUGGACCAACUAUCGAAAGAACAGUGAGAUCAUCAUUGACAUGAUAUUUAGAGGUUAUUCCAUCUAUGACAUCCUUUUUCAAAUCAUCCCUCCCAUAUAACUUUGGCUCUAUAAUCUGUGGGGUGGUGGUUCUGGUGGUUUGGUUGAAAGCAGUGCCUUGUUGGGCUGAGAUGCCAGUGGAGGCUAUAGUUCCCUGCAGCUCCAGAUCUAGAAUUGUAGAGACCAUAGCACACACUGGCUUAAGCUGCUCAACUAUGUCCACCAUCCGUUUGGACAUGGCCACCCGAUCAAACUUGAGUUUUGGCUUUCUACGAUGGUGACACACCACAGAAGCACAGGAGCAUGAGGGGAGCUUCAGCUUACUGACGACGGCCCCAGCCGUGUGUCGUGCGUUGAGGACAAGGCCCCCGACGAGACCUCGGGCAUCGGCGUCAAUGGUCUCAUAGGUCCCAUGGAGCUCAUCUUGGAUGCGGAAGUACUCCAGCUCGUCUAGAACGUCAUCAGCAUCGUACGCUUGGUUGCGGAGCUCCUGCAAGAGCUGCCCCAGUGCAGGGUUGCAGACAUCCCUGCCACGGGCGUUGUUCAGCAUCCCCUGGGCCUACAGGAGUUGCAGCUUGAGGGCGCGGAUGUUGGGGGCCAGCUUCGAAGAGGCUGCCCAAGACUCCAUGAGGCCAUCGGAGAUGGGUCUCAGUGCCCUGGACACCGCCCAGCGUGCUGCGCUGAUGGUGAUCUCCAUCCUCUCUUCAAAGGGUGUUGGAUGACGAAGAUUCUGUGAAUCAGAGCAUCGAUCAAGUUAUGAGCCUGUUCGGAACAGCCGGCAGCGGCUGCAGCUGCAGCUGCACUAGCACAAGAAGCUGAUGCUGAAGCUGGAUCUUUCGAAAAACAAGCUGAAGCUGAAGCCAAUGUACUAGGAUUAGCUCUCUGUUUGUUCUGCAAGAGGUGAAGUAUGUGCAGAUCACAAGGCUAGCCAGCUGCUUACCUAGGCUACGCAGAUGACUGGAGGUGCCCUGCGUGGUCGGCACCGGGUUGGAGUUGGAGCCUUGGAGUGGAGGCUGACAAAGACUCUGCAGCUGCACCACCGAGUUGGAGCGCGCAGACGUCAAGUGGUGAGUGUACAGAGGAACUCAACUCUGUUUCUGUGGGAGGAAUGCGAGAGACAACAACUCUGUCAGAUGGGAGCUGUGAGCCUAUGAAUGCAAGCGCGUGUGUGGUUUUCCCAGGGAACGUGAGAUGAUUGAUUGCAUGUGAGGCUAGAUAUUUCUAAACUCCUUUUUUUUACAGCACUCGAGUGUGAAACAGAGCAUGGAUUCUAGCUUACCUACGCAGAACACGGAGUUGGAGUGGAUGCAGCUGCACCAAGGAGUUUCAGCGGCCAAGAUGCGAAGUGCAGUGUUACUCUCGAAGAGGAAUGCAAGAGAGAACUCUGGGCAAGCAGCUUGUGCCAGGAGUUGGGCGGUUGUUGGAGAUGUGAAUAUAAGCGUGUGUGGGUGUUUCCUUUCCCUGUUUGUUCAAUUAUUGUCCUUAUGCUGCACUUGUUGCUUUCUCGGUUUCAAUGCAAAGGCACUUUUUCCUUGUCAAAAAGAAAAAUGCAAAGGCACUUUCUCGUGGUGCUCCAACGAGACAAAGCAAGGAUUCCUUCCCUGUUUGUUCAAUUAUUGUUGCAUUGAAAUUCUCUGUGUUCUGUAACCAAGCAGAAGCAGCAGGCGCAAGUGCGCAACGCACCCCACCACGCACUUGUGGAUGGAACCACGAUGGAGGAAGGCUCUGCCAGCCGGACGUCGCAGCAUCCAAUUCGCUCGUCCCAACCUAACCUCAUGUACGUUGGAUUGGAGUCACACGCGUCCAAUAGAAGGACCUCCAUUAUGCAUGCAAGUUGGGAUCUAAGACAUGUUGAGCCGAUUCCGCACUGUCUCUCAAAUCUGCAGUCUGAACUCUGAAGAGGCCAAGUGUCCAAGUUUGGUAGACAACAGAGCUUCAAAUUCAGUGUGUUUAAUUUUACAUAGAUUGACUCUUAAAAUUCAGGUUCAGUGUUCUUGAGAGUCAGCGUUGCUCAGCUGAUACUGUGAUGUGUCAUGUGACUCUACUUUGAAAAGCAGGGCCCUUUGCCUUAAAGACAAACUGGACCUAUUUUAUUGCUCUUAUGUUCAUUUAUUUUAUUUUAUAUUAUAGCGAGAUCCAUCUAGAAAGCAGUCACUGGAAAUGCUAGCAGAACAGGACCUUUGACACUUAUCACUAGCACUAUUUCAUUCAGUCUUGUAUCUCAUGUGCUUUUGCAUGCUAGCCAUUUGGCCUACAAUGUCAAAACGCAGCACUUGCAUAUUCUAUUAUUUCUUGCGACGCACUCUUGCAACUUCUCUUCAGCAUAAUAUAAGUUUGAAUCUCUAUCUCAAAUUUGGCAGGACAAUUCAGUCUAGAGAACACCCUAUGUUUCUCCUCAACUUAGACACUACCUGGCAGAAUUAGUUGACCACCUCGUCAGUUAGCAAUGGGUCAUCAUUUUGAAAGGGUCCAUGUCAAAGACUGCCUAACCAUGCAAAGAACACAGAGGAAAAAAAAAUCUUAUUCAGUGAUAUCAACUGCAUUACUUCCUACUCCAGCCUUGACAUUUAACAGCGAAGAGCACAAACUUGAGAGGUCAUAUAAGGCAGUAAUAGAUGUUCCAUAACUUACUUCGAUUGUGGCCGUGUCAACGUUUUCUUGUGAGAAUAGAAGAAAUCCAAGACUGGUGAAUACCUGAAAAAGCGUGCAGAUAAUUAUGAAAAGUCAUGAUAAUAAUUCAGUCAAAGACAAAACACGAAUGGAUUCAAUGCCAGUAGUAUUUGGGUCCACCACGAAAUUCCAUCAGUUGUUUGCAGUAACCAUUUGCAUGUGUAAUGAAAUAGUAAAAAAAUUAUCAUCCAAAGGGGAAAAAAAGGUAGGCCAAAGUUUCAAUAAGUAAACUACCUCAAAAUGUGUCAGGGAUCCAUUUUCUGAUUGCACUGAUUCAUCAAUAGCUCCUUAGAGCCUCAUCAGAAAGAUCACUCAGCAGUCCAACUGGGACAGGGCCUUCAUCAUUUCCAACAGAAAUCCAUUCACGUAUUAAUUGUUGGAAGACGAGGACUGAAUAGAAGACAGAAUUUCAGAGGUGUCAAAAACCAGCGAGACACAAUGGAACUGAACAAUUACAGACCAUCUAGAACAGAAGAUUACCCUUGAAUACCUUGACAUAGAUCUCAAAAUGAACAAUGACAGACAAUAUUCAAAACUAAUCUGUUAGAAAACAAGACCUAGCUCCCUACGAAUUGAAUACGAGAGUGCUAAGUCAGAUAAAGGUACUUUCUAUGGAUACAUCUUGGUACUUAAGACAUAUCACAUUUCUGUGGAUACAUCUUGGUACUUAAGACAAAUCACAUCUUGCUCCUGCAUACCUCUUUGAUGCACCACGAAGUUUCUGUCAUGAUAUUGGAGAGUUAAGCCAGAUUCCACACAACAAUUGCAAGCGAUUGACGAAGCCGAUGGAGAGUUAAGAUUACACCUGGAGUAACAGCCCACAUUGUAGCCUUGAACCCCAUGAUUCAUGAACCAUGAUACUGGACAGGAACAAAAGCAGUAGAACCUUCCCUACAAGCACAACUAUUCAGUUAAUCCCUGCAAUCACCGUACUAGCCGUCGAGACGAGGGAACGGGAGCCUCACCGGGCAGUGGGUGUGGGGAGUCACCGAGCCAGCAGAGGAGGCGGACCAUACCGGCCGAGGUCGAAUCCUUCGUCGGAGUCGGUGCCAGCGCCGCGCGGUACGUCCGAGCGCUCGUAGUUGCGCAGCCGCUCCGUGUACUCGAAGAAAUCCCCGGUCGGGCCCUCCGCUUCGCCUCCGUGCUCCGGCAAUAGCAGACAGGUCGCGGCGGGUGCUGCUCCCCAGCAGCAUACCAUUCGGGAGGCCGAGUGCGGCGGAGAAGCGACCUACUAUCCGUCGCGUCCGUGCUGCAGCGGCGGGAGGCGCCGGAGUCGCGGACGUGAUGCUCUGAUGGAGAUGCAGCGAAUUGCAGAUUACAGACGAACGGGCCUCCAGGUGGUGCGGAAGUGGGGAGGACGCCGGAGCCGGGGAGACUGCACUCUUCCGGGGAGGCGAUUAACAAUAUCUACUCCAAUCGAUGGCUGAAUGUCAGCAACGCAUUUGCGACAUGGGAUGGAAGAGCUUGACUGACUAAACUCUCCGGGGAGGCGUUGAAACUGGAUUGAUUUCAUGAUUGAUGGACUUUUGUGUGAAUUAAUAUGUUGCAGGUGACACGAGACAAAUUGGUGAUGCCUUAUCAUCACUCACGAACCUGUAUCUUGCAAAUCUAUGGAAAACUUCAAGGGUUUUGCCUGGCAUACUGAACUCUGUGAUAUACUGAUGCCAAGCCUUCCAAAUCCAAAAUUACUCCAAAACUUCAGGCUUCAGUUUUGUGAAGUACAUUCCGCCGGGGCCUGCCUGCAACACAUUAGUAACAGUGCUCUUUUUUGUUUGAACCUAACUUCCUGUAGAGAAUGGGGGAGGACAAUUAUACAAGCAAGCAGGUAUAAGAAAACAAUACAAACUUUGACACGAUGCUUUUACGUGGAAAAAACUCCUCAAAAUGAGGAGUAAAAAACCACGGGACCAUCACGGUCCACUGCCAAAUUUUCCAUUAUGAGGAUGAUGAUGAAUACAAGUAGUCGUUACAAUAUCAAAAGACAAAACUCUUGCACGACCAAACAUGACCACAAAAGUAAUCAAGAGUUAACCACUUCACCAAGAAAAGGCCACACUGCUGAAUUUGACAACCUGAAGCAGCCAAUCCAUUUUGCACGCUGCUGAAAAGAAAAAAAAUUGCGCUGAUCAGUUGGAAAGUUUGGAAAACAGAUGGGAACCUAUCAAGUUCAGAUGUAGUAGUAGGUGAGGUUCACGAUGUAACUCACCAAUGGUACAUCAUUUGAAAUCUUGGUGCUGAUGUAACAGCAUCGAUCUGGCUUUCUAUUAUCCCAACCUAUGCAUUUUGUAAAGCUCUUGAUACCAGGAGCACAAGAGAUGUGCCCGGUCACCAAUAACUUGCUCAAUGCCUGCUGAAAAUGGUCCACCAAUCACAACCUGACAAAAAAAUGUUUGAUGUCCAGGUUACAUGCAUGUUGUCUAGGACCGAACCCAAGGUGGGAUUUUUUUUUAAAAAAAAUAUCAAUUGUAUUAUCCUCAUUUGAAUCAUGUAUGUUACGAAAUUCAUAUAUGAGUAGAGGUCAGAUUUAAGAACAAAAUUGCAGCACAGAUUCUAAUGAUUGGAGAGGACUGAAGAUAGCUAAAUUAGAGGAAACUGGAAGAGGGAGAGUUCCUAAUACUGCUGCAGUGUUGCUCCUUGCAUGCAAUGCAAUGUGACAGGGUAAAGGUUCCAUUGAUCAGAUAAUAACAAAGUAAAAUGGCCACCAAAAAAAAUUAAGCUACUUCACAUUCAGCAACUAACAUGGGUGAUCCUUUGGUGGAACCUUUUGGUAAAACAUAGUGCCAAAAAAAAAGAAGUGUUUGUUACCUUGGAUUAGUCUCGGAACUUAACUAUGGGUAUUGUUCCUUGCAGCUUCCGGCACUGCUUCUGUAGCUUCUCGUGGCUAUCCGUGACAUCUAGCAUUUGAAGUGAAUUCGGGAGGCUGCCCUCAUGCAGCGACCUGAUAGCAGGACAGCGGUGGAUCACUAAUAUCUUCAGUGAACUUGGAAGGCUUCCCUUUGGUAGCGACCGGAAGCCAUCGCAACGAACUAUGUGUAGUUUUGUCAGCGAACUUGGGAGGGUGCCCUUGGGCAGUGACCGGAUGGCAUCACAGCCCCGUAUUUCUAAUUCCACCAGGGAACUUGGGAGGGUGCCCUUGGGCAGCGACCGGAUGGCCUUACAGAACGAGAUAUGUAAUUCCACCAGUGAACUUGGAAGGCCGCCCUUGGGUAGCGACCGGAAGGAGCCACAGAACCCGAUCUCUAAUAUCUUGAGGUUGGGAAGCCCACCUAACCCUUCUGGCAGGGACUGCAGCCUAGAGUACCCCAAAAUUCGAAGAACCUGGAGAGAGGUGAGCAUCUGCAGGGCCUCCGAUUGCUCCAUUGUGAAGUGCUCCAAGUCGUCAUUCCCACCAAGCUCUAGCUCGGUGAGAGAGGAAGAGAAGUGGCCACCGACGGGCACAGCAACGGCGCCCCCUGCUUCCCCAGCCGUUUCGAGCGCUUGCAGCCUGGAGCUAUGUUGGGGAAGAACUUGUUCGCACAUCCGCGAAGGCUCAGGGACAUCAAGUAAGUUGUGCGCUCCCCAGAUUUGUAAUUCCUUGAGACGACCCUGGGCGAGGAGAUGCCAUAGGUCCUCAGAUCUUAGACCCCCACAAUCAUGUAGGACCAAUUCGGUCAGAUUUGUGAGAGGAGCCAGCGUCAGCAUGCCAUCCUUCACACCCUCAAGCACGAGGGACUGCAGGGAGGUCGAGAAAGGGCAGUAAAAGGAGGGGAGCAAACUGGAGGAUAGAAGCGUGGGGCAAUCCCAUAUAAACAGUGAUCUCAGAGAGCUCUGAUUUUGGAGCAACUCCUUCAAUUGGAGGGGCAUGGGCAGCUGUCCUCCUGCUGCAGCUUCUAUUUCCUCUGCUUCUCCUGCCUGCUUGUUACCACACCUCUGUAGGUCCAACGUUGAGAGGUUAGGGAAAUAAGAGAUUAGCUGUAACAAUUCCUUCACAGUGGCACCACAAUCUGAUAUCUGGAGCUGUUCAACUGGGAACUCGAAUGGGGAAUCAUUCUCACCUUCAGUUGGCCACAGGACACUAGUACAGUGACUUAUAUGCAGGGUCUUCAGAGAAUUUAGCAGUUGUAGGUGAUGUAGAGGCACAAGUGGGCAUUCACUGAUCUUGAACUCCUUUAUUUCACUCAGAUUAGUAAAGGCCAAUACAUUCCAGAGUUCACGAUCAAGAGCAUCCUUUUUGAACUGUACACUCAUUUUCUGUUCCUUUCUGCUGUAAUCUAAGUUCUCAAUACUCUUACCUACUUUCCACAGUCUAGCUUCGGACAGAGAACUACUCCAAGGAAUUGGUGGCACUGACACUAGUUCCUUACACUCUGAAAUGUAUAUCUCCUGUAGGUUGGGAAACAUGUGCGGAGAUGGCAACUCUGUAAGUUCAAAACAAUCCUCAAUAGUGAGUACCUCUAGCUUAGAGAAAGGGCUAUCUACACUCCAUUUUUUCAGAGUUGCUAUGUAGACAAGUUCUAGCCUCUUCAGAUUCUGAAAGGUUUGCCCUGCGACGCUUGGCUGCUCUUCGCCGACCAUCAACAACUCUCCUAGCAGAGGUGGAAGACUUUUCCAGGCUACACCUUCAAGGCAAAGGCAUUCCAAAUUCUUAACAGAGUGGUCUGAACAUAGCCAGGUAGGGUAUGUGUGACCUCCAUGUCCUCUAAUGCACACUUCUUGAAGAUUAUUGUGUGGCUUAAGGCAUUCAAGAACAUCUUGUUUCUUUUUUGGAUCCCUAUCAGACUGGUAUCUAUCCCAACCUAAUAUUAAUCGAUUUAAGUGUUGCAAGUGGACUAAUUUUAAUUCUUCCAGCUCUGUUGCACCACCAACCUUUUCAAGAUUACAAAUCUCCAAUGACCCAUGGAGCUGUAUCAAUUUCCCCAAUUGGUUCAAUUCAAAACCUUGUUUUUCUCUUUUGACCUCAAAUCUCCUUAUCUCUUGUAUAGAUUUAAGUUUCCCAACCUCAACAAUUCCACAAUGAUAUGAUUGAUUUCCCACAAGAAAAUGACGAAUUUUCACUAGGUUGCUCAUAUCUCUUGUAGAAGAGCACAUCUCUUCUGUGUCUAUACGAGGAAAAGCGCCGCAUUCUUUUAUAUCUAGGACCAACAAGUUAUAAAAUCUUGAUAUACUACCAAAUAAACUUCUUAAAUUUAAUACAUAACCCUUUAUCCUUAAGUAACGAAGAUGGACAAGUUGUGAGAAACUGUGCAGCAGAACCUCCACAUCAUACGAUGCACCAGAUAAGAAAAUGACACGAAGGGUUUUUGCAUCCCGAAACAUACCACUAAAUAUCUUGCAAAAACUUCCAUGGUGAUCUCCAAAUAACAUCAAAGUACGUAGGUUUCUAGCUUUCAGUCUUUUACCAAGUAUAUCAAGCCCUUUCUUACAAUUUUCAAAGGUUGCUUUUUCCUCCACAUCUGAAUUAUUUAUGAUGAUGGACAUGUGAUGUAUAGAUGUAGGAAUUUGUAUUGACCCCACAUUAGCCCCUUGUAUGCUAAGACAUUCAUGUGCUGAAACAUUUCUUGCCAAGUCAUGGAGUAGGUCAUGUAUAACAUAAUAAGCGUGCCUAUCCUCUUUUUUUUCUUCCUGGAAGAAGCCAUAACUAACCAAGUCGCUUACAUAAUCUAGUCCAAUAUCCUCAACUCUCUUGUUUUGAUCGUCGGGGCCUAACAGCCCUUGUCCUAUCCACAAGUGGAUUAACUCUUCCCUUCCGAAUUCAUAAUCUUCAGGGAACAAGGCACAAUGGGAAAAACAUUGUUGUAGAUGAAAGUGAAGAUAGUUAUAGCUAAGCUUUAAUGCUGGCAUAAUAUCAUCCUCAUUGGCCUGAUAUUCCCAUUCUUUACUCUCAAGUACUCUUCUCCAAUGUUUUGGGGUAAGUUCAGUUUUCAGUAAUCUACCGACAGUUUUUACUGCAAGAGGGAAACCUUUCAAUCUCUUCACUAUUUUGUACCCGAAAUCAUGCAAAUUAGCAUGCCCUUCCCAUGUUUGUCGGUUACCAAACACACAUUCUUGGAAGAAACACAUGCAUUCUUCAUCACUUAACCGUUCUAAUCUUAUUUGACAGCCUACUGUUGCAACCAUUUGUGCCACCUUCGGAAUCCUUGUUGUGACUAUUGCCAUGUUACCUUUUGUUUGCAUUUUCUUAAAUGGGGCUAGCAGUUUUUUCCAUUCAUUUUCGUGAUCUGUCCACAUGUCAUCCAAAACAAGCAAGAACCGUUUGGACUGCAAUCUUUUUUCAAUCAGACCUUCAGCACUUUCAUUUCCAUUUUCAUUGUCAAGUUUAGGGAUUUGUUUUACGAUUUCUUGUGCCAACUUACUUGCACUGAAAUUCUGAGAGACGCAUACCCAUACCAGGACUUGGAAGUGGCUCUUUGCUUCUUCAUAUAUAUGUUGUGUGAGUGUUGUCUUCCCAAGACCCCCUGGACCAACUAUCGAAAGAACAGUGAGAUCAUCAUUGACAUGAUAUUUAGAGGUUAUUCCAUCUAUGACAUCCUUUUUCAAAUCAUCCCUCCCAUAUAACUUUGGCUCUAUAAUCUGUGGGGUGGUGGUUCUGGUGGUUUGGUUGAAAGCAGUGCCUUGUUGGGCUGAGAUGCCAGUGGAGGCUAUAGUUCCCUGCAGCUCCAGAUCUAGAAUUGUAGAGACCAUAGCACACACUGGCUUAAGCUGCUCAACUAUGUCCACCAUCCGUUUGGACAUGGCCACCCGAUCAAACUUGAGUUUUGGCUUUCUACGAUGGUGACACACCACAGAAGCACAGGAACAUGAGGGGAGCUUCAGCUUACUGACGACGGCCCCGGCCGUGUGGCGUGCGUUGAGGACAAGGCCCCCGACGAGACCUCGGACAUCGGCGUCAAUGGUCUCAUAGGUCCCGUCGAGCUCGUCUUGGAUGCGGAAGUACUCCAGCUCGUCUAGAACGUCAUCAGCAUCAAAUGCUUGGUUGCGGAGCUCCUGCAAGAGCUGCCCCAGUGCCGGGCUGCGGACAUCCCUGCCACGGGCGUUGUCUAGCAUCCCCUGGGCGUACAGGAGUUGUAGCUUGAGGGCGCGGAUGUUGGGGGCCAGCUUCGAAGAGGCUGCCCAAGACUCCAUGAGGCCAUCGGAGAUGGGUCUCAGUGCCCUGGACACCGCCCAGCGUGCUGCGCUGAUGGUGAUCUCCAUCCUCUCUUUCAAAGGAUGUUGGAUGACGAAGAUUCUGUGAAUCAAAGCAUCGAUCAAGUUAUGAGCCUGUUCGGAACAGCCGGCAGCGGCUGCAGCUGCAUCUGCACUAGCACAAGAAACGGUGCUGCGCGAGGCUUUGUUUGCAGCAACAGCUGCAGUGGCAAGAAGCUGAUGCUGAAGCUGGAUCUUUCGAAAAAGAAGCUGAAGCUGAACUAGCCAAUGUACUAGCAUUAGCUCGCUGUUUGUUCUGCAAGAGGUGAAGUAUGUGCAGAUCACAAAGCUAGCCAGCUGCUUACCUAGGCUACGCAGAUGGCUGGAGGUGCCCUGCGUAGUCGGCACCGGAUCGGAGACUGGAGCAGCUGCAACGAGAGUUGGAGCCUUGGAGGCCGCGGAUGUGAAGAGGUGACAAAGACUCUGCAGCUGCGGCACCGAGUUGGAGCGCGCAGACGUCAAGUGGUGAGUGUGAGAGACAACAACUCUGGGAGGAUGAGGAAGGUUGGGUGGCCUGUGAAUGCAAGCGCGUGUGGUUUUCUCAGGGAAGGUGAGAUGAUUGAUUGCAUGUGAGGCUAGAUAUUUCUGAACUCUUUUUUUUUUUACAGCACUCGAGUGUGAAACAGAGCAUGGAUCCUACCUUACAGCUUCAAAAGAUGGAUUAGCUUUUACAAAAGAUGGAUUAGCUUUUACAAAAGAUGGAUUGCUAUGAACUACAGCAAUUCAAUCCUGAAUUUCAGCUUGUGUUUGCACAAGCUGAAUUCCCCCUUGAAGCAAAGAAAUCAACUGAGACAAAUGUUGUAAUUCCGUUCAGUUAUUUGAACUCAUAUUAAAGCUUCUCCAGGACCUUAUUAACCUUGCUUGAAAUCAUGUCACAGUGUGAAAUCACCUGACUCAUGCAGUGAGGUCGGGUUCCAGCUGGUGCCACCGAAAUUGCAGGGCAGAAAUUAUUGUCCUUGCUUCCCUGUUUACUCAAUUAUUGUCCUUCACGUUGCUCUUGUUGCUUUCUCCUCUGUCUAUUCUUGCACAUGGAGCUCGUGGACCCAGCCAUGAAUUCAGCAUCUGUCUGGACGUCCCAGUGUCUUCAUGAAAAGACUUUAAACCUCAAGUGAACAGGACGUCCGACGACCAUUGACCUGGACCUGGACACGGAACCACAGCGAGCCGAUCCAAGAAGCCGCGGCCACAUCGAGCCGAGUAGAAGGAGCUCCUUUAACCAUGCAAUUCAAGAUGGGAUCGAAGAACCUUCAGCGAAUCAACUUGGACUGACUGACUGAACUGUGCAGUCUGAAGAGGCCAAUUGUCCAAAGUUUGGUAGCCAACAGGGCUUCACAUUCAGUGUGUUUAACAGAGCUUGACUCUGAAAAUUCAGGUUCAGGCCUUGUUUGGAUGUAGUCGGAUUCGCAUCAAUCCACAUAUAUUGGUGUGGGUUGGAGUGGAACUUGAACUAAAUUCCACCCCAAUCCACUCCAACACAUGUGGAUUGAGGUGAAUCCGACAACAUCCAAACAAGGCCUCAGUGUUCUUGACAGUCUGCGUUGGACAGCUGAUAUUUUGAUAUGUGAUUCUACUUUGAAAACCAGGGUCCUUUGCCUUCAAGACAAACUAGACCUAUUUUAUUGCUCCUAUGUUCAUUUGAUUUUAGAUUAUAGUGAGAUUGAGAUCCAUCCGGAAAGCAAUCGUUGAAAAUGCUAGCAGAGCAGAACUUUACUAGCACUAUUUCGUUCAGUCCUGUAUCUCAUGUGCUUUCGCAUGCUAGCCAUUUGGCCUACACUCUCAAAAUGCAGCAGUUGCCUGUUCUAUUCCUAGCGGCACACUCUUGCACACUUUGAUUCAGCAGAAUGUAAGUUUGACAAACUUAAUUUGGCAAGCCAAUUCAGUCUAGAGAACAACCUAUAUAUCGUCUCAACUUAGACAUUAUCUAGCAUAAUCAAUUGACAACCUCUUCAGUUAGCAAUUUGCCAUCAUUUUGAAAGGGUCCAUGUCGAGGACUGCCUAACCAUGCAAAUAACUCAUAAUAAAACUUUUUCUUGCUACAAUGACAUCAAUUGCGUUACUUCCUAUUCCAGCCUUAGACAUUUAACAGCGAAGAGCACAAAACUUGAGAGGUCAUAUAAAGGUGGUAAACUAGUAAUAGAUGUUGCAUAACUUACUUUGAUGAUGUCAGUGUCAACGUUUUCUUGUGACAAUAGAAGAAAUGCAGGAGCAGUAAAAACCUGCAAAAGCAUGGAGAUAAUUACGAAAAUCAUGAUAUUAAUUCGAUGAGAGACAAGACAUGAACAGAUUCAAUGCCAGUAGUAUUAGAACUGCAUUCACCGCACUAGCCGUCGAGUCAAGGGAACGGGAGCCUCACCGGGCAGUGGGUGUGGGGGGCCACCGUGCUGACAGACGAAGAGGCGCAUGCUGCCGACGUCGAAUCCGUCGUCGGAGUCGUUGCCGGCGCCGCCGCAAGACGCCGAGUGCUCAUAGUUUUUUUUUUUUUUUUUUUUUUGAACUUCGAGUGCUCAUAGUUGAGCAAGCGCUCCAUGUACUCGAAGAAAUCCCCGGGUGGACCCUCCGCCUCGCCUCCGGGCUGCGGCCAUAGCGGACAGGCCGCGGCGAGUGCUACUCCCUAGCAGCAUACUUCGUGGGCGGCGGCGGGGAAGCGACCUAACAUCCGUCGUGGCCGUCCUGCGGCGGCAGGAGGCGCCGGAGUCGUGGCCUCGAUGCUCAGAUGCAGCGAAUCAAGCAGGAAGGAAGGGAGGGCGCCGGAGUCGGGCGGCAGAGGACGUGUGCGAGGAGGGAGACAACGAUGGGAGCAGAGGAAUCCCUGAAGAUGGAUUGAUGAUUUAUCUGCUCCACUCUCCAAUGAAUGCUGAACGUCAGCAAUGCCUUUGCCAUAUGGGAUGGAAGACAUCUUCAACAAAUUCAGCUUGACUGACUGAACUCUGCAUCUUCUUCAGCAAGUGUCGAAGUUGGUAGACAGACACAGCAGGGAUUCACAUUCAGAGUGUUCUCAUGAACAUUAUCCAAAUUGAUAACAAAAGUUUCAGAUAGAAUAAAUUCAACCUUUACAUUCAUGAUUGCACUUGACUGGAGAAUGUGCCGCAACCUGCUUGGCACACACACGUAUACAACAUCAUCUUUUGACCAAUAAACUGCUUCAAGCGAAAUAAUAACAGUGAAAUAUUUGAAAUCGAAACGUUUUGUUUUUAACAUCUUCGUUGUCUAAGUCUGAGAGACCCCAAAUUGCUCGAUGGUAUGCUUGAGUAAAUUCAGUCCAUUUCCAUCCCAUCUGUGGCUGUCUGCAACAUGUUAGUACUUAAUAUGUUGCAAAUCUAUGGCUGUCUGCAACGUUUUAUUUCAAUGACAGUUCAGCCUACUGAAACUCAAAUUGCCUACUGCAACGUUUUAUGGCGGCGAGGGCUGACAUGAGACAAAUUGGUGACGGCUUCUCAUCACUCACGGACCAGUAUCUUGCAAAUCUAUGGAAAUCUUCAGGGGUUGUCUAGCAUACUGAACUCUCUGGUCUAUUGAUGCCAAUCCUGCUAGACCCCAAAUUACUCAAAAUCUUCAAGCUUCAGUUAUGUGAAGUACAUUGCAUUAGUGGCACUGCUCUUUUUUGUUUGAGCUCCACUUCCUGUGGAGAAUGCAGGACAAUUAUAAGAGCAAAUAGGUUUAAGAAACACAACACAAUGUGCACGCUUUGGCACAAUGCUUUUACGUGGAAAAAAAACUACUCAGAAUGAGGAGUAAAAAACCACGAGACCAUCACAGCACACUGCAAAAUUUUCCAUUAUGAGGAUGAUGGGUACAAGUAGUCUUUACAAUAUCCAGAGAUAAUACCAGAAGCUGAAAACCAUCAUUAUAAUACCCUUGUAUGACCAAACAUAACCACAAAAGUAAUCAAGAGCAAACAGGAGUUGACCACUUCACCAAGAAAGGUCAUGCUGUUGAAUCUGACAACCAGAAGCAGCCAAUCCAUUUUGGGCACUGCAGAAAAUGGCAACCCAAACUAACAGAAUCUCUCUCAAACUUGAUGUUCCCGCACAGCACUAACACACUAGUUUUCCUGCAGCUCACUCGAAUUAGGUUUCAUUUCUUUCCCAACAAACAAAUUAAAGUAUUGCUCCCAGUAACCUCGUAGAUGUUAUACAUGGAUGUGGCUUCAAAAGAAAGAGGUUACACUUGUUAUCCCUGCAGAAGAGGGCACGCCAGCGAUCCACUGGAUCACUGUAUCAAAAACUUGUGCAAAAUAAAAAUUAAUUAAUUCCAGGAGUUAACUACCUUCACACAAAUGGAAAAGGUUGUUUCUAUAUUUUCUUUGAUAUUCAUACCCACUGGAACCAAAGUGUUAAGCCCCACUUAUAGCACACUUUCAUCUUGAUUUUGAUGGCCUUGCUUCAUCAGGUUUGAGUUUUGUAUUUCACGGACUUGCAGCAAUAACUUCUUGUUCCUCUUCUGUAGCGACUAAUCUCAGUGCUGCAGAAAAAACAAAUAUCAAAAACAAGGUCUGCUAUUUUUUCAGCCUAAACUUUUCAACACCCAUCAUGUGUCUAAUAUAGAUGUAAAAUAGAUGAAGAAAUUCCUAGAUGUGUAUUGGCCAUUGUUGGGCUGUCCCAGGCCAUGUGCCAGGUGGGCGACAGCAUAGGACCGGCAGAAACAUGGAGGCUGAAAAUUUAACCUCUUUACUACUUAGUAUUAUUAGUUAUUAGCAAACCUGAUCAUGCCUCCAGUUAAUGUUUUCUUUUUCUUAUUAUGCGACAACAUUCCAGAAAAAAACACUGUGGUUUCCUUCAUUCCUCUCAAUCCCUUUCCAUAUCUGUCCUGUUGCAGACCAAUAGUUUCCCAUUUUUUAUGAGACAAAAAUAACAGAUCUACUCCAAAUUCUCCUCCCUCUCUUAUUAAUUUGUGAUGUCAUUAGUUUGAUACUUUGAAGUCGUAGUAGUUUAUUGACUAAAUUACCCUAAUGUGGAAAGUUCGGGGCCUAAAUUAGAGUUUGGCACAUGCCCCCAAACUUUCAGUCAUGACCUGCAUGUGUAGCUAGUGUCAGAUUGUCUGUAACCAAAAUAAAAGGUAUUGGUAAGCAUAACAAAGUUCAUGUCUAUCUUAUCCUAUAAAUUUGCUGAACACAUAUAGUAUCGUACUAUCCAUAUUUUCACGUCGGUUACUGAAAAUUUACAUGUUCCCAACAUUGUCAAAUCAUAAACCAAGCAAUGUUGUACCAGAGUGCAGAGGGUCAUAGCAAAAUUGUACCUGGAGUGCAGAAGCUCGUGUAGGGAACAACACAGGGAACACGACCAAGCAAGCCAUCUUCAUCACAUUCCCCCUUGUAUACCUUCCGCACCCGACCAGACUUUAGAUCAAAACUGAAUAGCACACCAUUAUUCAUUCCCACGAAAAAGACAUCAACACCAUGCGCAAAGCCAAGGAAGCCAUAUGAUGGAGCCGGCAUCGACUGGAAGCAACUUCUGAAGCUCAAUGACUCUAGUCCGUGUCCAUCCCACGCCUCCGUUUGGAUUCACCUCCAUUGACCAGAGCAAGAGUCUGGCGGCCAUAUCCACUCUUGCAAAUCCCAGCCCACCACCCUCCAUCUCCAUGAGCGCAAUAGCACAAUUGGAGGCUGGAGGUAAGUGAACCACAGAUGUCUCCGAUGUGGCCAAAUCAAAACCAAGGACCCUACUGCCAUUAUCAAUCGAGAAGUAGAGUGUGUUCCCCACAAGGGCAGUAGGCACUAGAUCGACGCUGCACUUGGGGACCAGAGUCGGCUCGCUCCAGCAGGCUGCCGCCGAUGAGUAGACGCGCAAGGACCAGCGCUGGACCUGGCUGUAGCUGUAGUACUUGGUGACAAAGCGAACGACGACGAAGGCUGUACCGUCGGCCGUGGGCUCGCGGAGCACAGUCGCGUACCACUCGUCCCGUUCGCAGUCGUCCAGGACUGGUAUCUCCCACCGCUCGCCCGUUGUCGGGUCCCAGAUGACGAGGGCGUCGACCUCGUCGUCACCCAGGACGAAGUGGAGGACGACGAGGCCGUGGCGGGCGUCGAGGACGACGCAGUCGCGGACCUCCUCCUCGCAGCCGGUGUGUCUCGGGCGGAAAGAGGAGGUGGGGACGAACCAGGCGAACAAGGGGUUGCACAGGAAGCCGAGCAGUGGUGCUGUGCGGUGGAACUCCAUGAACCGGCGGCGGAAGCUGCGGGCACAGACGAUGCGGCACCAGGGCUUGCAGACGAGCGCGGCGCGGACGAGGCUCGCGGGAUCGGCCGGUGGGAGGCGGAGGAGUAUCUCUUCGACGACGUCGGCCGGCAGCUCCAUACUGCUACAGAUCCGGGGAGAGCAGCGGCGCAAGCGCGAGGCUGAGGCGGAGGCGUGGGUGCCUGCUGCAACAGCGGAGUUUUUUAUUUUAUUUUAUUUUUUUAAGCUGCGUCAGCGGAGAUGGGCUGCGACGGGCCGUUCAGCUUCUCGAGUGGAAAGGCCUUCGAUUUUUCUGUUCCAUUUUUUGCUGCACAGCCCACGGGAAUUCUAAUGAAAUCUUCAGGGGUUGCGUUGCGUGGCAUACUGAACCCUGUUGUCUGUUGAUGCCAACCCUAUUAGACAAAUUGCUCCAAAUGUUUCUACUGCAUUCUAUCCAGGCCUGCCCGCAACGCAUGAGUGAUGGUAACUUCUUGUCAUCAUUCACGUUUCCUGUGUGUGAUGCUAUGGCUGAUCAAGGCACAAAAGCUGGCAAUGAGGUUUAGCAUCUUUGAGGGUUAUACUAAUCUUUAAAAGAGACUGGUCCAUGUCACCAUGGAGAAGUUAUCAAUGUCGUUGAGGGUUCAUAGUAAUCUGUAAAGGAUGAUGGAGUUUAGAGUAGACUAGUGAAGGUCCAAGUGCUCGUUUUGUUUGAGCCCCACUUCCUGUACCUGUAGCAAAUGGGGCAGGAAAAUUAUAAGAGCAAGGAGGUUUAAGAAAACAACACAAUGUCCACACUUUGAUAAUGCUUUUAUGUGGAAAAACUCCUCAAAAUGAGGAGUAAAAAACCACGGGACCAUCACGGUCCACUGCCAAACUUUCCAUUAUAUGAGGAUGAUGAAUACCAUGUACUCUUUACAAUAUCUAGAGAUAAUACCAGAUCUGAAAACCAUCAUAAUAAAACCCUUGCACGACCAAACAUAACCACGAAUGUAACCUUGAGCUAACAGGAGUUAACCACUUCACCAACAUAAGGUCAUGCCGUUGAAUCCUGAAGCAGUCAAUCCAUUUUGCACGCUGCUGAACAAUGGCAACGCAAACUAAAAAAGUCUCUCUCAAACGUGAUGUUCUUCUAGCACAGUACACAAAUUUUUCCACAGCUGCGGCUCAAGUAAAACAUGUUUUACUGAACUUCUUUUCAAGUCUAUCUUUGGAGCAACGUGGCAUCUAAACUUGUCCGUGCAAAGGUGUUUUUCUCCCUUUUGAACCCCAGUAUCUUGAACAUGACUUAAGACCAUGCCAGUUUCUAGGCUCAUUGAUGCUGCUGCAACUGCAAUGGAACUAUGAAAUGACUGCACCUCUACCAGUUGCAGCAUCGCUACUCACUUGGUACAAAGAACAUCCAUAGUUCAGAACAAUCCCUUUCCUAAAACAGAAGACAAAUUGAAUAACUGAAGUCACUUAUUUGCAUAAUGUCACGGACAUAAUAUUAAUCUCUAUGUAUCCUAAUGUCACCACAUUGACAGAGAAGCAAAUACUAUUCAUUUUCAAAAAUUGUAAAAUAUCUAUAUUUUCAUUAUCUUCAAAUUCAGUUAUGAGUGUUCAUUUUAUAUUAUCAGAAAAAUCAGUAUGUUUCAUAGAGGCUUCCAACAUUAAGACCUAUUUGUAUAAUUAUGUACUGUAAUAUUGUAUGGGCAUGGCUAUUUAAAAGGUCAAAAAGGGGACACAGCAGCCAGAUAGAUCUAAAUAAUGAAACAAGCUACAACGUCAUAUCAGUAUGGCUCGGUGACUGACUGACGCUCCUAACAUAACCAGAGAGAGAGAGAGAGAGAGAGAGAGAGAGAGAGAGAGAGAGAGAGAGAGUUUCAAAUGUUCAGCCUUCUAAUAUUUUAGCCCCAUUCAUUAGCAAGCUUCAAGUAAGAAAACAAAUUUUACAUGCUAUUAACACUAGAGAAAUGUCACUACGCAUCUCCUUGCUCUCCUAUUCCUGACACAAGGCCUUCCUUGCUGAGCGAUGGACCGGCCAAACUGGCCAACCUGUUAAUGCGCUCUGGGGUUUCAGCGCCGCUGAGAGAUGCCGCCGAUGGAUGUCCACACACUCGAUGCACCUGGCCGCGUGCCGCGGCUAUCCAUGAUUCUUUCAGGGACGAGGUUGCUGGCGUCGCGCAGGAGGUUCCUCUAGGGAUGCAAUGCGAUGCUCGCCUCCGUCAGUAGCACGGCAUCAGGCAGGCAUUCCACCUGCAGCAAGUUUCAGAGAAUAAUGUGGUAUCAAUUUCAGCAAUAGCUUCCACUUACGUGCCUGCCUGCCUGCCUGUCUGCCUGGAUUAAUUUCAAAUGCUCAGCAAGAGAUGACUAGUCCCACUACCUGAGUGAAGCUGCUAGCAAUCGCAAGAUGCUCCUUGUCAAUAUCCAUGCUGACAACAAGCGCUGGAAGCCUGUUAUGGUCUCACGGUUUCUUUCACUUCUAUACGUCUACGGCCUCUGCAGAUGCCCCCAUAUGUGCUGAGACAUAGUUCAAGCAUCAGCGACAACUGACGCUACUAAGAAGGCGAGGGAUGUCAAUAGCAGGUUAUAGCAGAGGUUAACCUCCAUCGACGAGUACAGUGGAUGCGCCCCGAUUGAGUACUGACGCUCCCUCUGCUGUCAGAAACUGGCUCCUCCGAGGAAGUUGAGUCUUCCUCACGCGGGUAGUUGCUCCAGCAAGCGGCGAUGCCAUGGCGAUGCUCGUUUCCGUCAGUAGCAUGACGUCAGGCGUUUAACCUGCAGCAAGUUUCAGAUAAAAUGUGGCAUCAACUUCUGCAUUAAUUUUCAAUCAUGCGCCGGCAAAACCAAGGGAUGGCUAGUCCCACUCAGUACCUGAGACAAGCUGCUCAGCAAACACAAAAGAUGCGCCUUGUGAUUAGCCAUUCCGACAACAAGCGCUAGAGGCCCUUCUGGUCAGUCUCACAGUUUGUAUCAAGUCUGAUAAUGCCUUUGCAGAUGACUUAGUGCUAGUUAGUAUGGGCUGGGACAUAGUUCAAGUAUCAGCGACUGACUGGUGCUACUGAAAGGGAAGGUCGGAAGGAUAUGUCAUGAGCAGGUUACAGCAGAGGUUAACCUCCACCGAUGGAUGAGUACAUACAGUGGAUGUGCCAUCCUCCUAGGAAGUUGGGUCUCCUCUAAGUCGGCUUGGAUCGAAACGGCAGAGAUAUCCCAUCGUUAACUUACCAAACCCAUGCAAUAGACAGGAAAAAACACAACAGUGAAUGCGUGUGAUAAACGAAAAACAGACAAAUGAAGGAUCAAAUGUUCAGCCUUAUAAUAUUUCAGCCUCAUUCAUGAUCAAUCUUAACUUUGGAGAAAUGUCACUUCGAUGACACUGAAUGGAUGGACUGUCAGCAAAUUGGCUUGGAAAUAUGGUUACCUUGACUAGUACGGAGACAAAGACCUGCGCAAGCAGCUGUGACAGUGUUCCAGCGCUGAUGACCUCCCAGCAGCUGGAGGUAUACAUCAUCCAAUCCAACCGACUGAAAAGGGAAGUUUGCGCUGAUCAGUUAGAAGAUUUGAAAAAACAGAUGGGAGCCUAUCACAUUCAGACUAAGUAGGUUACGUCGCGAUGAAACUCACCAAUGGUACAUCAUUUAAAAUCUCGAUGCUGAUGUAACAGCAUUGAUAUAUGGCUUUCCAUUAUCCCAACUUAUGCAUUUUGUAAAGUUCUUCAUGCCAGGGUCACAAGCAGAUAUCACGGGAGAUUGCAUCGUCAAGAAUGCCCUGUAACGAAAAAUUUGCUCAAUCUCUGCUCAAAAUGGUCCACCAAUCACAGUCUGACCAAAAAAAAUGUUUGAUAUCCAGGUUACAUGUUGUCUAGAACCUAAACCAAGAUGGAAUAAAAAAAAAACCCUGAAACGUAGUAUCAUUGAUUUGGACCAUGUAUGCUAUGUCAAGCAAUUCAAAUAAGAGUGAAGAUUUAAGAACAAAGUUGCAGCACAAAUUCUAAUGAUUGGAAAGGAUUAAAGAAGCUAAAUCAGAGAAAACUGGAAGAGGGAUGGUUCCUAAUACUGUUACAGUGGUGCUCUUUGCAUGCAGUGCAAUGUAACAAGGUAAGGUGCCACUGAUCAGAUAAUAACAAAGUAAAAUGGCCACCAAAAAAAAUUGAGCUACUUCACAUUCAGCAACUAACAUGGGUUAUCCGUUGGUGGAACCUUUUGGAAAAAAAAUAGUGCAAAAAAAAGGAAGUGUUUGUUACCUUGGAUUAGCAGCGUCGGAACUUAACUAUGGGUAUUGUUCCUUGCAGCUUCCGGCACUGCUUCUGUAGCUUCUCGUUGCUAUAACUGACAUCUAGCAUUUGAAGUGAAUUCGGGAGGCUGCCCUCAUGUAGCGACCUGAUAGCAGGACAGAAGCGGAUCUGUAAUAUCUUCAGUGAACUUGGAAGGCUUCCCUUUGGUAGCGACCGGAAGGCACGGCAACGAAUUAUGUGUAGUUCUGUCAGCGAACUUGGGAGGGUGCCCUUGGGCAGUGACCGGAUGGCAUCACAGCUCCAGAUUUGUAAUUCCACCAGGGAACAUGGGAGGGUGCCCUUCGGCAGAGACUGUAUGGCCUUGCAGUUGCUGAUUUGUAAUACUACCAGUGAACUUGGAAGUCCGCCCUUGGGUAGGGACCGAAAGCAGUCACAGAACCGGAUCUCUAAUCUCUUGAGGUUGGGAAGCCCACUUAACCCCUCUGGAAGGGACUGCAGCCUCGAGUACCACCCAAUAUGAAGAACCUGGAGGGAGGUGAGCAUCAGCAGGGCCUCCGAUUGCUCCAUUGUGAAGUGAUCCAAGUCGUCAUUCUUACCAAGCCAUAGCUCGGAGAGAGAGGAAGAGAAGUGGCCACCGAUGGGCACAGCAACGGCGCCCCCUGCUUCCUCAUCCGUUUCGAGCGCCGGCAGCCUGGAGCUAUGUUGGGGAAGAACUUGUUCGCACAUCCGCGAAGGCUCUGGGACAUCAAGUAAGUUGUGCGCCCCAUAGAUUACUAAUUCCUUGAGACGACCCUGGGCGAGGAGAUGCCAUAGGUCCUCAGAUCUUAGACCCCCACAAUCAUAUAGGUCCAAUUCGGUCAGAUUUGUGAGAGGAGCCAGCGUCAGCAUGCCAUCCUUCACACCCUCAAGCACGAGGGACUGCAGGGAGGUCGGGAAAGGGCAGUAAAAGGAGGGGAGCAAACUGGAGGAUAGAAGCAUGGGGCAAUCAUCUAUAAACAGUGAUCUCAGAGAGCUCUGAUUUUGGAGCAACUCCUUCAAUUGGAGGGGCAUGGGCAGCUGUCCUCCUACUGCAGCUUCUAUUUCCUCUGCUCCGCCUGCCUGCUUGUUAUCACACCUCCGUAGUUGCAACAUUGAGAGGUUAGUGAAAUAAGAGAUUAGCUGUACCAAUUCCUUCAAAGUGGCACCACAAUCUGAUAUCUGGAGCUGUUCAACUGGGAACUCGAAUGGGGAAUCAUUCUCACCUUCAGUUGGCCACAGGACACUACUAAAGUCACUUAUCUGAAGGGUCUUCAGAGAAUUUAGCAGCUGCAGGUGAUGUAGAGGCACUUGUGAGCAUCCAAAAAUCCUGAACUCCUUUAUUUCACUCAGAUUAGUAAAGGCCAAUACAUUCCAGAGUUCACAAUCAAGAGCAUCCUUUUUGAACACUACAUGAACUUUCUGCUCAUUUUUCAUAUAAUCUAUUUCCUGAGUACUUGUGCCCACUUCACACAGUCUAGCUUUGGACAGAGAACUACUCCAGGGAAUUGGUGGCACUGACACUAGCUUCUCACAUCUUGAAAUAUAGAUCUGCUGUAGGAUGGGAAACAUGUGCGGAGAUGGCAGCUCUGUAAGUUCAACACAAUCCUUAAUUGUGAGUACCUCUAGCGUAGAGAAAGGAUCAUCUGCACUCCAUCUUUUCAGAGUUGCUAUGUUGACAAGUUCUAGCCUCUUCAGAUUCUGAAAGAUUUGGCCAGCGAUGCUUGGUUGGUCUUCACCAACCAUCAAGAACUCUCCUAGCAGAGGUGGAAGACUUUUCCACGCUACACCUUCAAGGCAAAGGCAUUCCAAAUUCUUAACAGAGUGGUCUGUACAUAGCCAAGUAGGGUAUGUGUAACCUCCAUGUCCUCUAAUGCACACUUCUUGAAGAUUACUGUGUGGUUUAAGGCAUUCAAGAACAUCUUCUUCUUUUUUGGGGUCCUUGUUAGGUUGGUUUCCAUCCCAAUGUAACAGUAAUCGAUUUAAGUGGUGCAUGUAGACUAACUUGGUUUUUUCCACUUCUGCUGUUGCUUCAACCUUUUCAAGAUUAUGAAUCUCCAGUGACCCUUGGAGCUGUAACAAUUGCCUUAAUUGAUUCAGUUCAAACCCAUGUUUUUCUCUUUUGACCUCAAACCUCCUUAGCUCUUGUAUAGAUUUUAGUUUCCCAACCUCAGAAAUUUCAGAAUGACAAGAAUCAUAUGGCACAAGAAAAUGACGAAUUUUCACUAGGUUACUCAAUUCUCUUGUAGAACUAAAAUUAUUGCAUUGUUUUACAUCUAGGACCAACAAGUUAUAAAAUCUAGAUAUACUGCCAACUAGACUUGUUUCAUUUAAUACAUAACCCUUGAUCCUUAAGUAACGAAGAUGGACAAGUUGUGAAAAACUAGGCAACAAAAGCUCCACAUCAUAAGAUGCUCCAGAUAAGAAAAUGACAUGAAGGGCUUUUGCUUCCCGAAACAUAUCACUAAGUAUUUGACAAAAGCUUCCAUGGUGAUCUCCAAAUAACAUCAAAGUAUGUAGGUUUCCAGCUUUCAAUUUUUUACCAAGUGUAUCAAGGUCGCUCUUACGAUUUUCAAAUGUUGUUCUGUCUUGGACAUCUGCAUCAUUUAUGAUGAUGGACAUGUGAUGUAUUGAUGUGGGAAUUUGUAUUGACCAGACAUCAGACCCUUUUAUGCUAAGACAUUCAUGUGCUGCAACAUAUCUUGCCAAGUCAUGGAGUAGGUCAUGGAUCACAUAAUUUGUGUGGCCAUCCUCUUUUUUUUCUUCUUGGAAGAAACCGUGACUAACCAAGUCACAUAAAUAACAUAGUCCAGUGUCUUCGAUUCUCUUGUUUUGAUCAUUGGGGCCCAACAACCCUAGUCCAAUCCACAAGUGGAUUAACUCUUCCCUUCCAAAUUCAUAAUCUUCAGGGAACAAGGCACAGUGAGAAAAACACUGUUGUAGAUGGAAAGGAAGAUAGUUAUAGCUGAGCUUUAAUGCUGGCAUAAUGUCAUCCUCAUUGGCCUGAUAUUCCCAUUCUUUACUCUCAAAUACUCUUCUCCAAUGGUCCACGGUAAGUUCAGAUUUUAGCAAUCUACCAACAGUUUUUACUGCAAGAGGAAAACCUUUCAAUUUCUUCACUAUUUCCCACCCAACGGCAUGCAAAUUAGUAUGCUCUUCCCAUGGUUGUUUUUCAUCAAAAACACAUGCUUUGAAGAAAUGCAUGCAUUCUUCGUCAUUUAAGCGUUCCAAUCUUAUUGGACAGCCUAUUGUUGUAACCAAUUGUGCCACCUUUGGGAUUCUUGUUGUGACUAUUACCAUAUUACCUUUUGUUUGUACUUUCUUAAAUGGGGCUAGUAUUUUUUUCCAAUCAUCUUCAUGAUAUGUCCACAUGUCAUCCAAGACAAGAAAAAACUGUUUGGACUGUAAUCUUUUUUCAAUUAACUCUUCAACACUCUCAUUCCCAUUUUCAUUGUCAAGUUUAGGAAUUUGUUUCACAAUUUCUUGUGCCAACCUAUUUGCAUUGAAAUUUUGAGAGACACAUACCCAUAACAUGACUUGGAAGUGGCACUUUACUUCUUGAUAAAUGUGUUGUGUGAGUGUUGUCUUUCCAAGACCCCCUGGACCAACUAUUGAAAGCACAGUGAGAUCACUGCCCCGAUAUUUAGAGGUUAUUCCAUCUAUGAUAUCCUUUUUCACUUUAUCCCUCCCAUAUAACUUUGGCUCUAUGAUUUGUGGGGUCGUUGUUCUGGUUGUUUGGUUCAAUGUAGCACCUUGAAGGCCUAUGGUGCCUUUGGAGGCUAUGGUUCCCAACAGCUCUAGAUCAAGAAUAGUGGAGACCUUUGCACAUAACGGCUUGAGAUCAUCUACAAGUUGCGCCAGCCGAUUGGACAUAGCCAUCCUAUUGAACUUGGGCUUUGGUUUUCUAUGAUGCUGGCACAAAAAAGGAGCACAGGAGCAUGAUGGGAGCUUCAGCUUACUGACGACGGCCCCAGCCGUGUGGCGAACAUUGAGGACGAGGCCCUGGACAAGACCCUGAGCAUCAGCAUCAUCAAUGGCCUCAUAGGUCCCUUGGAGCUCGUCCUGGACACGGAAGUACUCCAGCUCAUCCAGCGCAUCAUCCGCGUCAUACGCUUUCUGGCGGAGCUCCAGGAGCAGGUGCCCCAGUGCGGGGUUAUGGACGCCCCUGCCACGGGCAUUGUUCAGCAUCCCCUGCGCGUACAAGAGCUCCAGCUUGAGGGCACGGAUGUUCGGGCCUAGCUCCGAACAGGCCGCCCACGACUCCAAGAGGCCAUCGGAGACAGGCCCCAGCGCCUUGCCCACCGCCCAGCGUGCCGCACCAAUGGCGAUCUCCAUUGAUUAUCCUCGGCUCCUCACUUGAAAAGGUGUUCAGGCAAUGAUGGUGACGAUGCUAGCUGCAUACAGGGAGUCGCUCAUAUUGUUACUACUAGCUAUGGAUAUAUAUGAGUAGUGUCAUUGCCCUACUACCCUUUGUCCGAUCCACAAAAGCAAUGCAAGGUCAAAGAGAUGAAGCAACUUACAUACGCAGGGUCGGCGAGAGUUCGAAUGUCUGGCCGGAGCUGCACAGUGAAGGUAGUCGAUUGGAAAGAUUGGCAGAUUGACGGUGAGGAUGUUAGCUGCAGAGAAUCCAUCGUAUUGUUAGUUGUUACUAGUAGCUAUGGAUAAGAGUACUGUAUGACGGUGAGGAUGUUAGCAAUGCAAGGUCAAAAAGAUGAAAAUGCUUAUACACAUACGCAAGGUCAGCACAAGCGAGGGGGAGCGCCUGGCCAGAUCGAGCUGCACUAGACGUGGACGUAGAUAGACAACAACGCCAAGUAGUGCUGAAGAGUCAAAUAUGCAAGAGCGGGCGGAUUGCGAGGUCAGACGGAACUGAUGUGUGUGAAGGACGAGAGGAGACCUGGAAGAAAGAAAUAGAAGCCCGCAGGCUGGGGCUGGGAGGUGGCCCUAUGCCUAGGAUGAUUAAUAUUUAAUUGCCAUUAGUUUAGCAGAAAGCAGAGGCAACACUUGGCUUUAAGAUACUAUCGUGCAAGCUAAGUAAGGUACUAAUCCACACCAAAAGAGAAAGCAGAAGAAUAAAACAACCUUAGUGUUAGUUAAUUUCAGACUACCUUGCUUAUUGGCCCCUGGGGCAGUGGCAGAGCCAAGAAUAUACACUAAAUUGACAAUAUUCGUUCCCUUGUGCAAACAUAUGAGACCACGCAUGCUGCUUAAUUACUUUAUUACUGCUUUGCUGCAGAACAAGACGUGCUGUCCAGGGUAACACCACAGCAUCUCUCUUUAGUUAGCCUGGAAAUCUGUGUUGGUUGGGUAUGGCAUAAUAUUACUUCUCUGCAGGCGAAAGAAGGAGCGAUGGGACAGCAAAGCAUCGUGGUAAGACAAAGCUUUAGCAAGCUAAGAGAUUUUGCGACAAGCAUGGAUGCCAUGGAACUUGUAAAAAGGACACUCCGCUUAAGAUCUUGCGCACCUAAAUGACGGAUUGCAGGCACACAGAGUCAAAGCGUUUCAGAUAAUCACAUCUGCCAAGAAUACUUUAGACAGGACGGACUGGUGCCGGACUAAUGGCGCGCGUCAUUACCUUGGGAGUUGGGGGACCUCUGGUUCAUGUUCAUGUACCCCCAAAUUGUAACCGGUUUUUUGAAGUACACAAAGCCCUACUGUAUUGUCUGCACUUAAAACUCAAUGGACGGGGCGCCGGGCGAGGGAAGGUGAAAAGCACUCUAUGUCUCUAUAUGGUAGACGUAGAUAAGACCUAAUUAAGUGCCGCUAGUUUAGCACAGGAAGCCAGAGACAAAAGUUGGUUGAAGAUAUUGGUUGUGCCAAGUUAAGUAUGGUUGUGCUACUAAUUAAUCCCCACCCGAAAAAAAAUCAAUAAUGGCACGAGCAGCUAGCAAGAAUGAGAGUAUGAAACAAUGCCCAGCCUUACUGAUUGUGAUUUAUACCUUGCUUGGCCCCGAGCAGCCGGCGCCGGUGCAGGAGCUUGCAAGGGAGGCGCAGCAGCAACGCCAUUUGGGGGAUUGGUUUUGCGGUUUUGCCCCCGCGCCUGCCACCCUGCCGGCUGCCCCACGCCCCGCCGACCGGCCGAGCCGCCGGUGGCGUGCCCGUGACUGGCCCCAUCCCGACUCGCCUACGCCUGCUACCCGUGGCGUGCCUCUUGCCGUCGUCACGGACCCGCCGCCGCUUCCCCGGCGGCCAUGGCUCAUUGGCGGCUAGCUCAUUGGGAAUUGGGGAACUACGAGUGAGCCGAGCCGUGAAAAGGCCUGCUCGGCUAGUCUGAUGCGUAGUGGGCAUGUUGGGCCGCCAUACAAUACAACCCAGAAAAGAAAGAAAAACGAGUCCUUUUCAUCACCAUUUAAAAAACUAUUCAUUCACAAAGUCCCAUUUUCCUCCCUUGUAUAUGAAUGAAAAUAUGAUUUUGAUCUCCUUCAACCUUUAAAAACGUUCUUGCGCCCUCUGAUUGCAAAAGUCCUUUAAAAUAAAACUGUGUUUCUUCCUCUGCGUUCCUUCUGAAAAGGCACUGAUGUCUUUUUUAAAGAAACGUUGAAAAUCUUCAAGGUUUUCCUGAUCGACUAGUCUGAUGACGCCAAGCCUGCAUUACUCCAAAUCAUCAGGUUUCAGUUAAUUCAAGUCCAUUCCACCCGGGCUUGCCUGAAAGGCUGCAAUGCAUCAGUGACAGCAAAUUCUUAUUGUCAUUGACGUUUACAGCAUGUUUUUUUACCAAUAUAUGUUAGAGUUAUGGACUUGAGCAGAUCUUUUAAUUUGGAGAAAACUUAAAGCAAAUUUUGAUGCACAUAAUCACAUAGACUGGCCAUACACAUCCAUCAACUACAGAUUGAUGGAAUCAUGAAUCAUCUAUCCAUGUACCAUUUGGGAGGAUUGGCUGGAUUAGACCGUUUCCAUCCACCUCCAAACUUUCCACUGUAUAAGGAUGAUGGAUACAAGUUAUCUUUACAAUCUCUAGAGAUUACACAAGAAGCUGAAAAGCAUCAUUGUAAAACCAAGAGCUAACAGGAGGUAACUAUUUCACCGAAACAAUGUCACACUGCUAAAUCUGGCAGCCUGAAGUUGCUGAUCCAUUCCGCAUACCGCUGAAUAAUGGUAAACCCAAAAACAGAGAAAACUUCUCAAACAUCAUCUCCAUUCAGCUGCUACUGACACACCAGUCUUCUCCGUAGCUGCUACUGAAGCAAAAGAAUUUUUUUUAACUUUUUUGAGCUGCCUCUUUGGAGGAAGGAGGCAUGUAAACUCUUCUUUGGAAGUUAAGAAGACAUCCUGGAAAAAGAAUAAUGGAUUUUGUUUCUCACCCUGACCAUCCUAUAGCAGUUGAUCCAGCCUCAACCCCUCAACCAUUCAAAUCUUCACACACCAAAUCCAAAUACUGAACAUGUAUGUUUCAAGAUAAUGAAACAGAACAGCUAUCACAGAAAUGAACCGUGCUACUAAUUAAGUAACAAAUGGAAUACGUAAGGUUUGGUUAGCCUCACUAUCCAGCACAAAUCAAUAGCCAAGAAGAAAUCUCUACAAUACAAUAACCAGCUAGAAAUAUUCAGUUUAACUUUCAGAGUGCAAUGUAUGCAAUUAACAAGCUUACACCUCGGCGAACAUAAUGUGUUGACUGUUGACUUCUCACAAAAGACAAUCUACUUUCCACAGAAUUUCAACAUGCUCAAUUGCUCAUUGGUGACCAGUGCUCACUCGAAUUAGGUUUCAUUUCUUUCCCAACAAACAAAUUAAAGUAUUGCUCCCAGUAACCUCGUAGAUGUUAUACAUGGACGUGGCUUCAAAAGAAAGAGGUUACACUUGUUAUCCCUGCAGAAGAGGGCACGCCAGCGAUCCACUCGAUCACUGUAUCAAAAACUUGUGCAAAAUAAAAAGCAAUUAAUUCCAGGAGUUAACUACCUUCACACAAAUGGAAAAGGUAGUUUCGAUAUUUUCUUCGAUAUUCAUACCCACUGGAACCAAAGUGUUAAGCCCCACUUAUAGCACACUUUCAUCUUGAUUUUGAAGGCCUUGCUUCAUCAGGUUUGAGUUUUGUAUUUCAUGGACUUGCAGCAAUAGCUUCUGGUUCCUCUUCUGUAGCGACUAAUCUCAGUGCUGCAGAAAAAAACAAAUAUCAAAAACAAGGUCUGCUGAUUGCGGAAUUGAUAAUCCAUCAGUGAACAUUUAAUUACCAACCAAUCACAUGUUCCAACAAGUUGCUACAACUAAAAAAGCAACAAUACAUCCUAUAAUCUCAGCUCCAUCAGUUAAUAAGUUGCAUAGAUCAUUAACAGAAGAUAGACUUAGAGCUCCUGAGGAACCUCCCUUUGUUUAACAUAAUAGCAUCAUCAAUAUACUCUAUCUUAUUAACUGACAUUCAACCGAUCAAGGGUAAGAAAUUAGAAAUGUGCUGCAUUGAACAAAGGCACAAGGUAGACAUCUAUAGUGUAGAGUAACAACUUUAGUGCUAUUUUUUCAGCCUAAACUUUUCAACACCCAUCAUGUGUCUAAUAUAGAUGUAAAAUAGAUGAAGAAAUUCCUAGAUGUGUAUUGGCCAUUGUUGGGCUGUCCCAGGCCAUGUGCCAGGUGGGCGACAGCAUAGGACCGGCAGAAACAUGGAGGCUGAAAAUUUAACCUUUUUACUACUUAGUAUUAUUAGUUAUUAGCAAACCUGAUCAUGCCUCCAGUUAAUGUUUUCUUUUUCUUAUUAUGCGACAACAUUCCAGAAAAAACACUGUGGUUUCCCUCCUUCCUCUCAAUCCCUUUCCAUAUCUGUCCUGUUGCAGACCAAUAGUUUCCCAUUUUUUAUGAGAAAAAAAAUAACAGAUCUACUCCAAAUUCUCCUCCCUCUCUUAUUAAUUUGUGAUGUCAUUAGUUUGAUACUUUGAAGUCGUAGAAGUUUAUUGACUAAAUUACCCUAAUGUGGAAAGUUCGGGGCCUAAAUUAGAGUUUGGCACAUGCCCCCAAACUUUCAGUCAUGACCUGCAUGUGUAGCUAGUGUCAGAUUGUCUGUAACCAAAAUAAAAGGUAUUGGUAAGCAUAACAAAGUUCAUGUCUAUCUUAUCCUAUAAAUUUGCUGAACACAUAUAGUAUCGUACUAUCCAUAUUUUCGUUACUGAAAAUUUACAUGUUCCCAACAUUGUCAAAUCAUAAACCAAGCAAAGUUGUACCGGAGUGCAGAGGGACAUAGCAAAAUUGUACCUGGAGUGCAGAAGCUCGUGUAGGGAACAACACAGGGAACACGACCAAGCAAGCCAUCUUCAUCACAUUCCCCCUUGUAUACCUUCCGCACCCGACCAGACUUUAGAUCAAAACUGAAUAGCACACCAUCAUUCAUUCCCACGAAAAAGACAUCAACACCAUGCACAAAGCCAAGGAAGCCAUAUGAUGGAGCCGGCAUCGACUGGAAGCAACUUCUGAAGCUCAAUGACUCUAGUCCGUGUCCAUCCCACGCCUCCGUUUGGAUUCACCUCCAUUGACCAGAGCAAGAGUCUGGCGGCCAUAUCCACUCUUGCAAAUCCCAGCCCACCACCCUCCAUCUCCAUGAGCGCAAUAGCACAAUUGGAGGCUCGAGGUAAGUGAAUCACAGAUGUCUCCCUUGUGACCAAAUCAAAACCAAGGACCCUACUGCCAUUAUCAAUCGAGAAGUAGAGUGUGUUCCCCACAAGGGCAGUGGGCACUAGAUCGACGCUGCACAUGGGGACCAGAGUCGGCUCGCUCCAGCAGGAUGCCGCCGAUGAGUAGACGCGCAAGGACCAGCGCUGGCCCUGGCUGCAGCUGUAGUACUUGGUGACAAAGCGAACGACGACGAAGGCUGUACCAUCGGCCGUGGGCUCGCGGAGCACAGUCGCGUACCACUCGUCCCGUUCACAUUCGUCCAGGACUGGUAUCUCCCACCGCUCGCCCGUUGUCGGGUCCCAGAUGACGAGGGCGUCCACCUCGUCGUCACCCAGGACGAAGUGGAGGACGACGAGGCCGUGGCGGGCGUCGAGGACGACGCAGUCGCGGACCGGCGGCGGAAAGAGGAGGUGGGGACGAACCGGGCGAACAAGGGGUUGCAGAGGAAGCCGAGCAGUGGUGCUGUGCGGUGUAACUCCUUGAACCGGCGGCGGAAGCUGCGGGCACAGACGAUGCGGCACCAGGGCUUGCAGACGAGCGCGGCGCGGACGAGGCUCACGGGAUCGGCCGGUGGGAGGCGGAGGAGGAUCUCUUCGACGACGUCGGCCGGCAGCUCCAUACUGCUACAGAUCCGGGGAGAGGAGCGGCGCUGCCUGGUGCGAAUUGGCGCGUUUAGAGUAGACUAGUGAAGGUCCAAGUGCUCGUUUUGUUUGAGCCCCACUUCCUGUACCUGUAGCAAAUGGGGCAGGAAAAUUAUAAGAGCAAGGAAGUUUAAGAAAACAACACAAUGUCCACACUUUUGAUAAUGCUUUUAUGUGGAAAAACUCUCAAAAUGAGGAGUAAAAAACCAUGGGACCAUCACGGUCCACUGCCAAACUUUCCAUUACAUGAGGAUGAUGAAUACCAUGUACUCUUUACAAUAUCUACAGAUAAUAUUAGAUCUGAAAACCAUCAUAAUAAAACCCUUGCACGACCAAACAUAACCACGAAUGUAACCUUGAGCUAACAGGAGUUAACCACUUCACCAACAUAAGGUCAUGCCGUUGAAUCCUGAAACAGUCAAUCCAUUUUGCACGCUGCUGAACAAUGGCAACACAAACUAAAAAAGUCUCUCUCAAACGUGAUGUUCUUCUAGCACAGUACACAAGUUUUUCCACAGCUGCGGCUCAAGUAAAACAUGUUUUACUGAACUUCUUUUCAAGUCUAUCUUUGGAGCAACGUGGCAUCUAAACUUGUCCGUGCAAAGGUGUUUUUCUCCCUUUUGAACCCCAGUAUCUUGAACAUGACUUAAGACCAUGCCAGUUUCUAGGCUCAUUGAUGCUGCUGCAACUGCAAUGGAACUAUGAAAUGACUGCACCUCUACCAGUUGCAGCAUCGCUACUCACUUGGUACAAAGAACAUCCAUAGUUCAGAACAAUCCCUUUCCUAAAACAGAAGACAAAUUGAAUAAUUGAAGUCACUUAUUUGCAUAAUGUCACGGACAUAAUAUUAAUCUCUAUGUAUCCUAAUGUCACCACAUUGACAGAGAAGCAAAUACUAUUCAUUUUCAAAAAUUGUAAAAUAUCUAUAUUUUCAUUAUCUUCAAAUUCAGUUAUGAGUGUUCAUUUUAUAUUAUCAGAAAAAUCAGUAUGUUUCAUAGAGGCUUCCAACAUUAAGACCUAUUUGUAUAAUUAUGUACUGUAAUAUUGUAUGGGCAUGGCUAUUUAAAAGGUCAAAAAGGGGGCAGCAGCCAGAUAUAUCUAAAUAAUGAAACAAGCUACAACGUCAUAUCAGUAUGGCUCAGUGACUGACUGACGCUCCUAACAUAACCAGAGAGAGAGAGAGAGAGAGAGUUUCAAAUGUUCAGCCUUCUAAUAUUUUAGCCCCAUUCAUUAGCAAGCUUCAAGUAAGGAAACAAAUUUUACAUGCUAUUAACACUGGAAAAAUGUCACUUCAAUGAAACUGGAUGGAUGGAGUGUCAGCAAAUUGGCUUGGAACUAAUAAAAUUUCUAUGUCUAAUAAAAUUUACAGGCACAACUUUAUUUUUGUCGUCUUUACAAAAAACAAAAAAAAUGAGAGAAAGGAGGUGAGAUACUGAGAGAGAUAUUUUGCAGAAGUAGCGCCUCAAAAGCCAGCAGUCUUGUAGGAGUACAAAACAGCGGGCUGCUGUGCUGCCGCCCCACACACGACCUGCGAACCCCAGGAUGAGGCUAUGCCGAUCCCAUCAGCAGAGACGAUGCCUGCCAUGCUUGCCUGCCGUCCACGCGUGUGUCACAUGCAGUUGACCAUCAAAAGAUGCACACCACACACCACAGUAACGCCGAAAGAUCCAUCUCAGAAUCUAUCCAUCCAUCAAGGGAAAGAGAGGCAUUCGAGAGCCGGCUGGUACAGCUUCAGCAUUAGCACCCAGCCACCCACCACUCCCUACUACCGCCUACCUCAGUCUCAGUGCAACUUCCACUUUGCACUCAUCAACCAGUGUCUCUGUAUGAAUGGCGUGAAAACGAAAUGCCCGGCCCCUCUUCCUCAACGCCGGCGCCCCAGCUGUUGCAGUACUGGCAGCGGCAAGACGAAGGGAUGUAGCCGGCCGGCGACGCAGACAAGGCGAGCGCGCCGGCCCUGCAACAGCCACUUCUAGUCUUGUAUGCUCGCGAACUCCCAUUGUCGGACGCCCAACAGUACGCAUCUCCUUGCUCUCCUAUUCCUGACACAAGGCCUUCCUUGCUGAGCGAUGGACCGGCCAAACUGGCCAACCUGUUAAUGCGCUCUGGGGUUUCAGCGCCGCUGAGAGAUGCCGCCGAUGGAUGUCCACACACUCGAUGCACCUGGCCGCGUGCUGCGGCUAUCCAUGAUUCUUUCAGGGACGAGGUUGCUGGCGUCGCGCAGGAGGUUCCUCUAGGGAUGCAAUGCGAUGCUCGCCUCCGUCAGUAGCACGGCAUCAGGCAGGCAUUCCACCUGCAGCAAGUUUCAGAGAAUAAUGUGGUAUCAAUUUCAGCAAUAGCUUCCACUUACGUGCCUGCCUGCCUGCCUGUCUGCCUGGAUUAAUUUCAAAUGCUCAGCAAGAGAUGACUAGUCCCACUACCUGAGUGAAGCUGCUAGCAAUCGCAAGAUGCUCCUUGUCAAUAUCCAUGCUGACAACAAGCGCUGGAAGCCUGUUAUGGUCUGACGGUUUCUUUGACUUCUAUACGUCUACGGCCUCUGCAGAUGCCCCCAUAUGUGCUGAGACAUAGUUCAAGCAUCAGCGACAACUGACGCUACUAAGAAGGCGAGGGAUGUCAAUAGCAGGUUAUAGCAGAGGUUAACCUCCAUCCACGAGUACAGUGGAUGCGCCCCGAUUGAGUACUGACGCUUCCUCUGCUGUCAGAAACUGGCUCCUCCGAGGAAGUUGAGUCUUCCUCGCGCGGGUGGUUGCUCUGGCAAGCGGCGAUGCCAUGGCGAUGCUCGUUUCCAUCAGUAGCAUGAUGUCAGGCGUUUAACCUGCAGCAAGUUUUAGAGAAAAUGUGGCAUCAACUUCUGCAUUAACUUUCAAUCAUACGCCGGCAAAACCAAGGGAUGGCUAGUCCCACUCAGUACCUGAGACAAGCUGCUCAGCAAACACAAAAGAUGCUCCUUGUCAUUAGCCAUUCCAACAACAAGCGCUAGAGGCCCUUCUGGUCUGUCUCACAGUUUGUAUCACAUCUGAUAAUGCCUUUGCAGAUGACUUAGUGCUAGUAAGUAUGGGCUGGGACAUAGUUCAAGCAUCAGCGACUGACUGGUCCUACUGAAAGGGAAGGUCGGAAGGAUAUGUCAUGAGCAGGUUACAGCAGAGGUUAACCUCCACCGAUGGAUGAGUACAUACAGUGGAUGUGCCAUCCUCCCAGGAAGUUGGGUCUCCUCUAAGUCGGCUUGGAUCGAAACGUCAGAGAUAUCCCAUCGUUAACUUACCAAACCCAUGCAAUAGACAGGAAAAAACACAUCAGUGAAUGCGUGUGAUAAACAAAAAACAGACAAGUGAAGGAUCAAAUGUUCAGCCUUAUAAUAUUUCAGCCUCAUUCAUGAUCAAUAUUAACUUUGGAGAAAUGUCACUUCGAUGACACUGAAUGGAUGGACUGUCAGCAAAUUGGCUUGGAAGUAUGGUUACCUUGACUAGUACGGAGACAAAGACCUGCGCAAGCAGCUGUGACAGUGUUCCAGCGCUGAUGACCUCCCAGCAGCUGGAGGUAUACAUCAUCCAAUCCAACCGACUGAAAAGGGAAGAUUGCGCUGAUCAGUUAGAAGAUUUGAAAAAACAGAUGGGAGCCUAUCACAUUCAGACUAAGUAGGUUACGUCGCGAUGAAACUCACCAAUGGUACAUCAUUUAAAAUCUCGAUGCUGAUGUAACAGCAUUGAUAUAUGGCUUUCCAUUAUCCCAACUUAUGCAUUUUGUAAAGUUCUUCAUGCCAGGGUCACAAGCAGAUAUCACGGGAGAUUGCAUCGUCAAGAAUGCCCUGUAACGAAAAUUUUGCUCAAUCUCUGCUCAAAAUGGUCCACCAAUCACAGUCUGACCAAAAAAAAUGUUUGAUAUCCAGGUUACAUGUUGUCUAGAACCUAAACCAAGAUGGAAUAAAAAAAACCCUGAAACGUAGUAUCAUUGAUUUGGACCAUGUAUGCUAUGUCAAGCAAUUCAAAUAAGAGUGAAGAUUUAAGAACAAAGUUGCAGCACAAAUUCUAAUGAUUGGAAAGGAUUAAAGAAGCUAAAUCAGAGAAAACUGGAAGAGGGAUGGUUCCUAAUACUGUUACAGUGGUGCUCUUUGCAUGCAGUGCAAUGUAACAAGGUAAGGUGCCACUGAUCAGAUAAUAACAAAGUAAAAUGGCCACCAAAAAAAAAUUGAGCUACUUCACGUUCAGCAACUAACAUGGGUGAUCCUUAGGUGGAACUUUUUGGUAAAAAAUAGUGCAAAAAAAAGGAAGUGUUUGUUACCUUAGAUUAGUAGCCUCAGAACUUAACUAUGGGUAUUGUUCCUUGCAGCUUCUGGCACUGCUUCUGUAGCUUCUCGUUGCUAUCUGUGACAUCUAGCAUUUGAAGUGAAUUCGGGAGGCUGCCCUCAUGCAGCGACCUGAUAGCAGGACAGCCGCGGAUCCGUAAUAUCUUCAGUGAACUUGGAAGGCUUCCCUUUGGUAGCAACCGGAAGGCACCACAACCAUUUAUGUGUAGUUCUGUCAGCGAACUUGGGAGGGUACCCUUGGGCAGCGACCGGAUGACCUUACAGAACGAGAUAUGUAGUUCCACCAGUGAACUUGGAAGGCCGCCCUUCGGUAGCGACCGGAAGGAGUCACACAACCAGAUCACUAAUCUCUUGAGGUUGGGAAGCCCACUUAACCCUUCUGGCAGGGACUGCAGCCUAGAGUACCCCAGAAUUCGAAGAACCUGGAGGGAGGUGAGCAUCUGCAGGGCCUCCGAUUGCUCCAUUGUGAAGUGCUCCAAGUCGUCAUUCCCACCAAGAUCUAGCUCGGUGAGAGAGGAAGAGAACUGGCCACCAAUGGGCACAGAAACGGCGCCUCCUGCUUCCCCAUCCGUUUCGAGCGCCGGCAACCUGGAGCUAUGCUGGGGAAGAUCUUGUUCGCACAUCUGUGAAGGCUUUGGGACAUCAAGUAAGUUGUGCGCUCUCCAGAUUUCUAAUUCCUUGAGACGACCUUGGGCAAGGAGAUGCCAUAGGUCCUCUGAUCUUAGACCUCCACAAUCAUAUAGGUCCAAUUUGGUCAGAUUUGUGAGAGGAACCAGUGUAAGCAUGGCAUCCUUCACACCACAAAGAUUGAGGUACUGCAGAGAGGUCGGGAAAGGGCAGUAAAAAGAGGGGAUCGAACUGGAGGAUAGAAGCAUGAGGCAAUCCCCUAUAGCCAGAUUUCUCAGGGAGCUCUGAUUUUGGAGCAACUCCUUUAAUUGGAGGGGCAAAGGCAGCUGUCCUCCUGCUGCAGCUUCUGUUUCCUCUGCUCCUCCUGUCUGCUUGUUAUCUCUCUUCCAUAGUACCAACGUUGAGAGGUUAGGGAAAUAAGAGAUUAGCUGUAACAAUUCCUUCACAGUGGCACCACAAUCUGAUAUCUGGAGCUGUUCAACUGGGAACUCGAAUGGGGAAUCAUUCUCACCUUCAGUUGGCCACAGGACACUAGUACAGUCACUUAUAUGCAGGGUCUUCAGAGAGUUUAGCACUUUCAGGUGAUGUAGAGGCACAAGUGGGCAUUCACUGAUCCUGAACUCCCUUAUUUCACUCAGAUUAGUAAAGGCCAAUACAUCCCAGAGUUCACGAUCAAGAGCAUCCUUUUUGAACUGUACAUGAAUUUUCUGAUCAGUUUUCCGGUAAUCUAUGUACUGAAUACUAGCACCCACUGUUAUCAGUUCAGCUUUGGACAGAGAACUACUCCAGGGAAUUG
rnacentral:lncRNA from 1 species